UUUUUUUUUUUUUUUUUUUUGGUAGAAGAGUUGUGUACUUUAACAAUAAUGUCUAACCAGAAAAAGUGGACAGGCUUACACUGUAUAAACAACCUUGAAUGUGAUUAACUAGUGGUGAUAGUGAUCAAAAUAGUGAUGUAGAACUCUAGUUUGACCGCCUAGAUUCCUUUGGAGUAGUACAAAUGCAGAGAACUUACUUUCAAAAUUAAGGUUAACUUUGCAGACAAAAGGAUGUCUAUUCGGAUUAAAAAAGAUUGAUGAUUGAAACAUGUAUAGGAAACUUUGCAGGAAAGUGAGUUAAAGCAAGUGGAACUCCGUGUGGCAACAAAGGAAAGUGUCACAAGUACUACCAUAUAUUGCAUUUGAUAUUUCGUGAAUUAGAUAGAUUAAAGUGCUUGCUCCAUUCUUGAUUGAAUAUCUGUCUUGGACUUGUAGUGAAAGAGACCUGCAAUUGUGGAGCCAAGGCUUAAAGAAUUCUAGGAUUAAACUGGAGAAUUAUAGCUAGAACUGCGUGACUUUCAAAUUUAAGAAAAAUUGAAGUGGGAUUAAUAAAUGGUCGAUCGAAACAAGUCAACUAGGAAGACUCAAAAUUAAGGGACAGAGAGCAAUUAUAAGUACCAAUGGAGACGCUUAUGUGAUUGUACUGAGAAAUUGCAGUCUAUACUGCCUGAUACUAUCUAUCUUGGGACUGCAAGCAACAAUGAAUGAAGCCUUCCUAUAGCAGUCAAAAUCUCAAAAAAGAUGGAAAGAAAGAAAGAAGAUGAAGAUGGAAUGAGUUUUAGAUUACUGGACGGGACAUGAAAAGAAAUAAAAAUAAAAAAAGGGUCUUUCGACAUGAUAAAAAUGUCCCUAAAUCUUUUUCAUGACACAGUUCCACUGUCCGACAUUUCCAAAGUUCUCUUUUGAGUAUUAUUAAAGCGUGACUUGUUGAGUACUAUCUCCUUUGCAAUGAAAGUCAAUGGCAAUCUUCCAACAGUACGUAAAAUGAUGCGAACAGUUUACACACUGGGAUUUAGAAAGCUAGUGGCCGUCCUGUCCAAAAUGUACUCGAGUGUCCCACCAAAAAAGAAGAAGAACAAGAACAAGAAGAAAAUAUGAAGUUGAAAAAAACAAGUUUAAUUCUAUGAAGUUGAAAUAAGCAUAGUUAUUAAACCAGGGCCAUGGGUUGGAUGGAUUAGCAAUUCAAAUGCAACAUUACGAUUCAACCAACCGGUGGUUAUAUAACAUCAUAAAAUAAUAUAUUUAAAUUACUAAAAACAAUAUAUAUGUUGAAUUGGUGGUUGAAUCAAUUGUUGAACCAAAGGUUUUUCUAUAUUUUGCCUAUUGAGCUGGCGAGUAGUUAAUUGGCUAAUAGGUUUUUUUUUUUUUCCUUAUUUGAUUCAAUUACUAACCUAGUCUGUUCAAGUAAUUAGUUCAUCGAGUUAACCAAUUAAACUGCCGAAUCGGGCUGAGUUAAGAAUACCACAUAGCAUUCAUAUUGUUGCUAUUGAAAUUUGUUCCAAGAAUAAUUACACAAAUUGUCAAGGCAAAAUUAGCCCUUUCAAAUCAACCUAUGACCAUAUUCGAUUUGACAUAAAAUGUAUAAUUUUAGUAUUUUUCAAAAACUAUCAUGACAUUGAAAUUUGAGUUUUUACAAUAAUAUCAAUCAAUUGUUAAGGACGAACAUAUAUCUCUUAUGAUACUAAAACAAUCCAAAGAAAUAGAUGGUAGAAAACAAGAUACAUGUGACUUGUUAGCAUGAGAAAGUAAGUUAGCAUACUUGAAUUUGCUCAUUCCAAAACCGCCCCAUGAUCCACUCAUGCACACAUGCACAUCACAUACGAUCAGUCAAAAACAUAAGCACAAAAGAAGAAAAGUUGUUGUUGACUUCUUUUGGCUUAUCCGAGUAGCAUCGUUUUUUCAGAUCUGCUAGCGUAUUUAACCGUGUACGGCUUCCAGGUUCUGAGCCCAUGUGUGGCUGUAGGAAGAAAGCUAAUAUUGCACAUGGAAAUGGAAACACCUGGGGACAGAAAGCGACUUGCCAUUGGUCAUUUGGUCCAGCGGUCGUCACCAUCUUUGGUGAUGCUGGAGGUCAGGGGUUCAAUCCCUGCCUCUCACAAAUUUGUCACUUUACGUGGUUGGUCUUCAGUCCCCACGGAAUAGCUCGAGCGGUCCGCUCCCCCUCCUUAGGGUAUGGCGACCUUCCUGACUUGUCCAGGGUUCGAGUCCCGUUGUUAAUGUGCUCGGUGUCAGGGGAUUGUCGAGCCCCGUAAGGAUUGAUUUCAUACUCCUGUGUUGACAAAAAAAAAAAAAAAAAAGAACAGAAAAGCUACCGGACUGUCUCGAGCGGUCCGCUCCCCCUCUGUAAUAAUAUCACUCAGCGCCCCUGCUCUGGACCCCCUGUGUUGACAAAAAAAAAAAAAAAAAAAGGGACAGAAAGCGACCGGACUGUCUAACUGUGCCAAAAUUUUUAAGAUUAUAAUUUAGAGUUAAUUUCAGAAACCUCACCUGAGGUUUGUAAUCGGUUUGUUUGGAUAGGGUAUUAUUUGAAAUAUUAUUUAAAAUAAUUAUUAUAGUACUUUUUUUUUGUGAUGUGAUGUAUGUGAGAUAAAAAGGUGAUUGAGAAUAUAAAAAGGUGGGUUAGAAAAUGUGUUUAUGAUACAAACAAAAUAUUAUUUGGGAUAAUAAAGCUAUCCUGAAAUGGAAAUGACAUGCUGUGUAUCAUUGUAAGUUUUUAUAUGUAGAAGUAUUAUUGUUAAAAAAUAUAUUGGAAUGGAAGAGAUUUUUCCUCAUCUAUCCUUACAUGAUCUAACUCAUGAUUUUUAUAAUAAGAAUCGAAAACUGUACAAGGAUGAAAUACUAUUAAACUAAGAAUUUGAGGAAGUAUAGGUACAACAAAAUAAUACAUUUGGUUUAACAAACUAGCCGUACAACCAUAUAUUAUUUUAACGAUAACUUCUGUAGCUCCUUCAACGGUAUAAAAAAGCUUGAAAAUAAAAAUAGGGCAAAAAUUAAGCAGCAAAGGGGCAAAGUAUAUGAGCAAACGGAAGAAGACUGAUAACACAAUACGAAAAGUUUAAGCAUAGGAGAAUCUUAUAAUUAAUUCACCAACAUCAUCCAAUUGAAACAUUGAUGUUUCGAACGUAAUUACAACGUGACAUUUGUAAUUUUUUAAACUGACAAGAAUCCAAAUCGGCGGCAUUGCAAAAUGCAAUUUCUUUCAUUGGUAUGGUGUAAAAAUGAUGCCCUGAGUAACCACAGCAAGAAGGUAGUCACGCUAUGCAAAAGGGACAUGUAUCGAAGUUACAAAUUCGACAAGCAUCAUACUUUGUAACAGGACACGAAUGUAUUUCUUUUCCCAACUUUUUCCUUCUUGAAAAGUAUUUAGACUUUGAGAGUCUCGGAUUGGGACAUCCAGUCACAUUAUAGUACCGUUAGCAAGAGAUUCAUGAGAUUUUUGAAAUUUAAGAGGAGCUAAGUGAUAUUAUUGUGAAAAAUCUCAGAGAUACUUUUUUAAAAUUAAUCCUACAAUUUAUACCUGUGCUACGUGUUGUCUUUCUUUUUUCAACAGCCUGAAUCAGACUUUUGUUGUUUUAUAAACCUAAUCCCAGAAUUAACCUCAAAAGCCGGCUGCUACGUGUUGUCUUUCGCUGUCCCCCUUUUAUUUCUUACCUCUGAUCCCUUGAUUAACCUAUCAUUCGCCAAGAAAAACUUGAUUUUGACAACGGACCCCAUAAAGCUAGUCCUUAUCCUUGACCAAGAAACUCGACGAUCUUUUUCCCGGGUUAUUUUCAUGACCCACAGGUAAGUAAAAAAAAAAAAAAAAAAUAAUAAUAAUAAUAAUAAAAGGGAGGACGGUAUCAUCAUGUAUGGCUAAAUCACACUAGUAGACUAACUGAAUCUUUUCUUAAAGAACUUUCAUUUUUUUUAGCCUUUGCACGUCUUUUUCCUUGCCUGCAGAUAUCAUGGGCUAAUUUAGGAGUGGAAGAUCUUUAACUUGGAUGUAAAAGGGCUACUUUGGAAUCCACUCCAUUUUUCAUUCUCAUACACAAAUUUUAUUUUUGAACGGUGAAUCAGUCUACUCGAUAUUAAUUAUUCUGGCUUCUUGACCAGAUAGAUCAUUUACAUUUUUAACCUGACUUAAGUUACGUAUUAAUUACAUAACAAUCUAGCCAAGUUUAAUUAUUACAUCCAUUAGGUUGAAUAGCACGGAAUUCUAUGCCAAGUUGAGAAAAACUAAUCGAGUUCUUGAGUGGAAUUCCAUUUUAAGGAUAAAUAUUCCCAUGCCAUGUCCUAGGUUUUUAACUGAGCCUGGGAGCUUUUUUACUGCUACUUUGUUCCCUUUCAACAUCACACAACAUGCACGUGACCCCGCAACACACAACAGAACCUAAUUCCAAUGAACAACGUUAAAAACAACAUAGUACUUACCUCUUUAGUUAAUCUUAUCAGAAUAAUGCAGCACUACUUUUGAUUACAUUACUCUUAACCUUUGAGAUUAGCAACAUUUUGGUGUUGUGGCCGCUUCUAAAUUACGCUGCCCGAGGUCCCUGAGACGCCGCUUUUGGCUCUUUGUCCCCGACCUUGGUGCCCCUCGAAGCCUCGAAGGCUAGCCACACCACUCCUGCUGCCUAUUAGCUCUUGGUCCCCCACGCCACCCCACCGCCACUACCACCACCACCAUUUCCCACUCAAAACUUUAGCCUUUAUGUCACUGACUCAAGAUUACAUAUACGAUUUUGGAGUGACAAAGAUAAGUUAGUAUAAUCGCGGGCUCUAAUUGAAUAGUCAUUAUGAGUUAUUAGGUACAAAUAUAUAUUCUCCCACCAAGAUUAAAAGGGCUAGUGGUAGGGGCAAGAGAGAUUUAGUUAAAAUAUUCAGAUGCUUUAGUGCUUUUAUCUUGAUUAAUUAACUGUGACAUGUGUGGCAUAUUGGAGGAUAAGUUGGUCCUACUCCCAACUUUAAUUUGGAGUGGUAUAUGCCUAGGAGUUGCUGUUUUCUUGGCAUUAGAUUCUCCAAUUUGUGGGGAAAUUGUCCCAAUGGCGCAGUGUGGAGGAUUUAAAAUCAGAUUGCGCCAUGGGGAUCAGAUCACAGUCUCUGCAUAUUUUCUUGAAGUUGGUUUGUGAAUUGACCAGGAAAUAGACAUCAUCAUUUGUGGUGGAGGAUGAUGAUGAUGCCAGGCUUCUUUCACGAGGGACUCCCACUUAAGACAAGAUGACCAUGAGCCAGUGACGAUCCAAGCAUUGAAGCUUGAUUUCGAGCUGGAAUGACAUUGUAUGGACUUGUAUAAAGAAUCUAAUCUAACUACAAGUAAGUAACUUGACUUUGGUAAUUUAAACACUAGACUAGAAGAAUCCUGGACUGCAUUCGAAACUUGCACUUACAAUUAAAAAAAAAAAAAAAAAAAAAAAAAAGGGUUCAUAGGAGUGUACUAGCUAGUUAGUCGUGUAUUUCUUGAAUUUAAUUUAGAGUGUUCUCGCAUUCUAAUUCCUUAUACUAUUCCAUUGGAUUAUCCAUUUCUCUUGAAUAUAUAGGAGGAUAAAGCAGGAAUAGUAUAGAUAUUUAAGUUCCCAUGUAUAAUUGCGUCUCUGAAAAAAAAAAAAAAAAAAAAACUCUUUUCACUGCUUAUCUAUGGCUGAUUCGCAAAAUAUCGCGGAUGAGAGAAAAGUACAUGAUAAUAUUUGUGAGACGGAGUUCUUAACAAAUCUUUUACUUCACUUUGCAAGGGUUGACAAUAAUUAUUUAUAGAGCAUCCACUUAAUGCCAUUCUUUCUUUCAUGAUAUUUCCAAAUGUAACAUGUAAAAGUAUAAUAGAGUUUUUUUUUUUUAUAUGAACAAAUUGUCUAUAUUUCAUGUUUCUGGGAUUAAAAAUUGAGUCCAAGGACAGAAGAAAGUAUUAUCUUUCAAUUAACAUACCUAAAUAAGUCCCGAUAAGUCACAUGCAAAAUCAGGGUCUCGAAGAUGCGUAAAACGAGUUCUCAUGUAAGUUAUAGGAUGUAAUUGGAUCUCACUCUCCCUGAACAAAUUUCCUUGACCUUCUUCUUAGUUCUUCCUGCCAAAAAUUUACAAGGGGCUUGAUUGGAUCCAACAGUGUCUUAUUGAAAAUCAACCGCAGGCUGUAGCCCAAACCCAAAAUGCUCUGACAGUUUUAAGCAAUCAUUAACCUCAUUCACACUUUUGGUGGGGAUCGAUGAUAGGACUCCAUCCGUAUGGCUGAACUGUAAACAGUAUACAGCAGAUUUUCUGAUCUUACAAGUCCAACAGGCCAAGGCAGCCCAAAAGUUUAAUGAAGUAGGCCAUUGAAGUGCACACCAAUUGCUCAGCCUAGAAUCUUGUCAACAUUACAUAAUCAUAUAAAAAUUUUUCAAAUGUACCUUGUUUUUGAUAACUCAAUUCAAAUACUCCUUCCGUUCCGAAAUAAUUGUUGCACUUCGGGGUCUUGUGCUUAUUUUCAACAGUGCCAAGAUUUCAAAUGAUUUUGGUGCAACUUCCAGCAAUACCCUUGUUCAGUUUCUAUGGAGUAUAACUGACUGACUAGCGGAAAGACAAUGGAAUGAUGACAAGAUCUGUGGGACCCGUGCCUCAAGAAUGUCUCCAACCGUUUUUUAAAAAAGUACCUUGCACGACCUUUGUUUGCAUUUGCUGUGGAACUCACGCGUAUCAAGUGCAAUUCUUGUAAUUUUUUGGGGCCCAUCAAAAGCUUAAAAGAAUCUAGUUUAUUUAAGGGCAUGAGAUGGAAAUGGAGGAAAGUUUUCAUUACCAACUGAGGUAAGUGAUAUUCAUUUUAUGACAGAUCAAAAAGGAAAAUAUGACAUUUUUUAAUGGACCGAGGAAGUAAAUGAUAGUUGUCCGUGACCAAGGUCAGAUUCUUGACAUCGAUAUUGUAAAAAAAAAAUGGGGUAGCAAGAAGAUGCAUAACGUGUCCGGACUAGACUUCCUAUUGGAUAUUCAAAAGCCAAGGGUUUUAGAUGGAAAUCUCAACGUCUUGGUGGAAUCAUGUUAUUACGCCUUGCAAGCACAUAUGUACUUUUCAGUUUGAAAGUUCCACUACUUGGUCCAUGUGCAUUAUUCACAGCAAAUGGAAAACCUCUCUGAAAAAAGCAUGUGUAACUUAACCAUUGCUAGUUUCUGCAUCUCCUUUCAAGUAAAAUCCAUUUGGAUGGUGAAUUCUUCCAUUGACUAAGAAUUUUAUUCUAAAUUACUAGAUGUUUAAAUAAACUAAUGAAAUGGGCAUACGCCUAAGGAGGGCAUCCUUACUAUAAAUUAACUACACAAAAGUUAUGAAGAAAAUGUAUUCAUCGCUCCACUAAACCAAAUAUGUUUAGUAUUCCACUGUUUAUUAGUGAGAGCGUAGAAGUUUCAGGAUAAAUAAAUCCCAAGUUUUGGGAGGAAGGUUGAGUUGGGUGAUAAGAUGGAAGGGAUUGCAAGGAAAAGAUUCUGAAUUCAAAACUUUUCGCUUAUUCAAAAAAAAUUAAAGGGAAAAAUCCCAAGCUUUAUGCUUUUUAGGUAAUUUGUUUUUACCAGUCAAAUCUUGCUUAUACAAGCAAUGCUAAGUUGUAGUAAUUAAACUUGUAUAAAGUACUGGAUGCAACGCCAGUGAAUAUCUGUCCUGCACCUUUAGAUUUCAUAGCUACCUUGAAAGACAGUGGACAACAACAACUAAGGUGGCUGAGCACGAAAUACAUUGGAGUUAGCUGGCUAUAAGCAAAACCAAUAUAUUUUUCUCAAAUGGAGAGGCACAUAGAAUUGUUUUGGACCAUCAGCCAAUCGUUAUGUGACUAACUCACACAGGUUACAAAAUACAAGUGCUAUUCUCAGAUACGGCGGCUGGCUCACUUUUCCUUAGUCAAAUGCCAAUUGUUCGCUCACCGAUUCUUGAUUUUCGUUUUUCAGACACAACUCAGCACAGUGUAUCCUCACUUUGCACCUAUUAUCUUAUAAAAUAGAUGCGUCCGUUUUCGGCAGGAUAAUACAAAUUGAAUGGGGAGCAAAAUUUAAAGCUGGAGACGUUAAUUCUUAAAAUAUUACUGUAAUUAGUAUCUUUAAACUCAUAUUUGUAAGCAAAUCUUUCAGCUCGUGGAUUUAAAUGGACCUGUAAACUUAUAAUUAAAUCUAGCUGUUGCUGUCAAAAUAUUCUGAGAUAGCAUGUAUGGAGCGAAAGAGAACCAAUUAGUCGUAAUAGCUAAUUUGCAUGUUGCUAUAGGAAACUAAAAUUAAUCCGACCCUUUAUCCUACUGAAAGCGAGACUUCAAUAUUUACACAGAUUUUCAAUUGGAAAGAUGGUAAUCAAGGUAGAACAACUUAAUUUUCAAAAAACCUUACGAUGAUAUUACCUGUAAACUGGUUGUAAUAAUCCAUGCAAGAAAUCGCAGUUAUUGAUUAAUUAGUGGUACAAAAAAAAAAAUUUUCAGUAGGGGAAAGAUGAGAUUUAAGAAGCGGGAGGGGAUAGAAGAUUAGAACCCCAAACCUGUAAUUCCUAAGUCUCAACCUUAGUCACUAGAUAGAGGUAUUAAACAUAAUAAUCAAUGAAUAAAAAGAAAACCACCUUUCCAUUAGUUAGCUUAAUCUGUCUGCUACAUCUCAUAAGUUCUGGAAAACUACAGGAGUUAAGAGCGUUUAAAGCUAAUAAUUGGCUCGAACUGAGGCAACUGAAGAUGUCUCCAGACAAGAACCAGGGACUUCGUAUAAUUGGAUCUAUAGCACCCCUUAAACCUCACACAUUCAUAGUGAAUGGUUGCCCAGCAUUCUUUUUUCAUUGGACAAAAAGUUCUUACAGACUAGUAUAAGCUCUCAAUAAACAUGUAACAGCAAAACAGCAACUAAACAGCUAUGCGGGCAAGGAGUAAUUAAGAAAGCAAGUUUCUCAAUAUUAAUUUACCUAAAAGAACUUAUGUAGAUGACUUUCGAGCCUCAACUUUUCCUUGUACAAAUAUGCUCCACAUUGAGUUACAAGAAAAAGUUAAUAUUGCAACUCCUUUGAAUCAGUAACGUUGCAAAGCAGCCAAGAGUUUUUUUAUCUAAUGAAACGGUGGGUAAAGGGAAAUUCUAGAGAAACUUUUUCACGGUCAUUUCUAAUUGGAACCCCAAUAGAAGUGGCUGAGCCAGUAACGUACCAUUACGGGGAUGGGGGAGGGGACUUGUGAAUAAGAGCAAAAGUCACAAUAAAAUUUUCUUGAAGGCAAAAGUUAAGAAAAUAGGGGUAGCAUAUGGUAUUAGACCAAAAAUUUUAGGCAGCAAGAAAAGGACCUCUUACAAAAUUUUCCAAAGCUGAGCAAGGAUUGAAAGAAAAUUUUGAAACUUAAGGGGGGGGCCAUUGCUCCAGAUUGCCCCUGGCUGCCUCCGCCACUACAGUGUUGUAACUAGACAUUGAAUAUCAAUCAAAAGGAAAAGACUAGAUUAAUUUAAGUCUGCUACUUUGUUUUGAGUGAAGAGAUGUUUCAAAUCUUAUGAUGUAAAAGAGGAAAAGGAAAGAGGAGAAUUUAGGAGUUGAAUUAAAGAUCUCACAAUUUUGUAAUUAGUGUACCUAUAAGCCAAGGUAGUUCUUGGAUUUAAGUCUAAAAUGACCCUAAAUAGAUACCCCAAAAAACAAAAAAGCAAAUAUAGGGGAAAAGUUAUUGAUGGACUCGUGCACUAUUUAUGUCCAACUAUCAGAAGAAAUUAUUGGAAUAAUCAAAGGAAAAGGUACUGUUCGACACAAAAUGUCUGAUCCAAGCGGUGGGUUUGUAACAGUGCUAAAACUUAAUUGGACGUCAUCAACACUAAGUUCGUGAACAAUAUGUGGAAAUAUCAGACGAGUUAAGGCCAACCCAAAAAGAAAAAUCGGGAUUUGACAAUGAAAAUAAUAUAAUCAGACACAGUUACAUGAAUACUAGGUUCGAAAACAAAGAGUUCAAAUAGUUAGGAAAAGAAAAAUGAGAUGAAACUGUCAUAACCAUCAUCAAACAGUACCCGAAGUUUGCUACACACAGUGUGAAGUUGAAAAAAUAAUUCCUAUAUGCCAAACUUUUGACAAAAACAAACGGUGCUUCUGUACUAUGGGCCUAAGGUCAAUACCAUACAAAAUCACUAAGCACUUUGUUUACCGUCAAGAGAACUGGAGAUUGAUAAGCUGCAAAUUAAAUAAUGAAAAGGGUAAAAUGAAGAGAGCUUUUCCUUAUUUCAUUAGCUAAUCAUAUGAGAAUAUCAACGAGUCCUUGAUUGAUUAAAAGAACCUACUCCAGGACACAUUAAUCUCAGAGUAAUUUAGACUCAAACAAAUUGGUCGAAGUGUGGAACCAGAUUAUAUACGGAUUCAUUGCCAAUUCACCGGGAGAAAAUAAUAGAGGUCGAUGAAGCGAAAUAGCGACCCCAAAAGAGAGAGAGAGAGAGAGGAAAACGAAAGAAGGGAGGGAUAUUAACUACAGCAAAUGUGAGAUUGUUAUUCACUUACAUCGAGAACUCUCAGAUUCAGAUAAGAGCUCAUCUAACAGAUCAGGUCCCAAGUCUUCAAACACCACCAGAUCAUCUCCCUUGACCAGCUGUUUCCUUUUGCCUCUACGUUUGGACAUACUUCUCAUCUUGUGUACCUCUUUCAGGGCAGCAGCUGGUGAUAAACCAUCUUCACAACUAAAAAGAACCAUUUCUUGAAGGGAUUCAUGGACCCUUUCAGCCGGAAAAUUAAGGGCAGCCACUGGACCUCGCAUCGAAAGUGCAGCUUGGUCAUAAGCCAAGGCAGCUUCUUCUGCAGUAUCAAAUGUUCCAAGCCAAACCCUGAUUCCAUUUCUUGUGGAAUCCCUUAUCUCAGCAGCAAACUUGCCCCAUGGCCGCUUUCGAACGCCUACGUAAUGCUUCUCCUUCCCAUAGUGAUCUUCUUUAGCCCUGGUACGGGCUAGGGUGAAUUCUUCACCGUUGAUUUCCUUAGACGAUGAACUUGCACCGGCAAAGGAUUUAGUAACAUGGUCCAUUUCUCCAGUAAAAAUCUAUGCUCAAGUCCUUUCAGUUGGAGAUUAGGAAUCAUGUGUCUGGAGAAUAUUUCAAGGAUUUCCAGAGAAAUUAAAGUUUUUAAGUAGUAGGGGUAAUCAAAAGGGGUAGCAUCAGUCGUUAGAUCUUGUUAGGGUAAUGGCUGUCAUGAUUCUCUAAAACUAACUUUGCCAUAGAUUCACUUUUCUCCUCAUGCCCAACUUGGGCUUGUUUAGAGAAAAUAAUGCACAAUUAGUACUACCAAGCAUUAAUUUUUGGUAUUGUUGUGAUGUCACUGCUGGACCAAGCUACUAAACUAUAAGAAAGGACAAUGUCUUCAGCCCCCCCCCCCACCCCCCCCCCCCCCAAGUUUUCUGACUUUUAUACAGGCAUUUCUUUAGUCCUCCCUCUAAAAUCUUCCAAUUAUUAUUGUUCUUGCCAUCCAUUUUCCUUUGCAUGAUUGAUUUGGUUGAGAUUUGAAAAAGGAUAAUGAUAAUCCCAAAAAAAUGCUCCUUUUCUGUGCCACUAAACGAAAGAUGUGUAGACUUCAUAGAACUAGAUUCCUUCUUCUUCUUCUUCUUUUUAAAUAUUUGAGUUAUUUUUCCCCAUCACUGGAAUUUGAGAACAAAAACCAGAUGCCUUAGCUUAUUUGUAUCAUUUUUCACGGAGAGAUGAUUAUAAAAGAGCAUACCGCCUCGACGGGAUUGUCCUAACUACUUGAGGCUUUUUCGUCCUUAAUAACGAUUACAGUAUUCUCAUGGUGGCACCAUUUUUUGUUGUGGUCAAUGGCCUUAAUAAAUUCCUUAAUUUUGCUGAUGUUUAGUAUUGAUAAUAAUUUUUUUUUUGUUUGAGCAUAGAAACAGUUCCAUUAAUAGCGUCAUUUGCAAUAAAAAUUCCGGCUAAAAUAGGAGAUUAUCUGUGAAUUUGAAUCCUGUAGCAAUUGCGACAAAGAUGCGUGUGUUAGCCUACUCAUGAUUAGACUAGCAAAUGUCACUUUCAACAACAUAAUUUUUACAUUCUUUGUUCAUAAAAUGCACGGAUUUAGUAUCAGUCUUUUGUCAAGAAACUUGUUGAUUUGUUGUUUAUGUGAGAAGCAACUAUUCAACAUACUAGUGGAGGGCAUCCCUUCAAUAGUUUGAAGAAUUGACCAAUUAUAAUUCUUAAAAGUAUAGAUGUAAUCAUUUUGUAUAACAGCCACAUCUCCAUUCUGCAUAAAAGUAUCAAUUACUUUCAUCCAACAAGAUGCCAAUGCUACUACAAAUACUACUACUGAAAAGUGGACCAGUAGUCAUUAACUGGUCCUAAAGCUAGUUUAAUAUCAAAGUAUUCUUUUUUUUUUUUUUUUUGUGAAGGGAUAACACAUCAAAGUAUACAACCAAAAUGUUUGGAAGGUUGGUUUUUUUGAUCUGGUUUCACACUGCCAAGAGCUGAAGUGAACUCCUUCUUGAAGGCAAACCAGUAUACUGACUAUUUCUUUUCUUCUUCAUGACAAAUUAUGGUACAGUACUUCUUUAGUAGCAUCCUUGUAUCAAGUGAAAUCUAUAGCACUCAAUUCAGCCUAAUACAGAACUUCAUCACCACAGUUGGCAAUGUAGUGAGGUAUUAUUCUAUUAGCUUUGGUCCUAGGAAAUUGACAAAUAAGACAAAUGAGAAUAAUAGGGUUCGUGAUAAUUCAAUAAUGACAAUAACUAGAAAAUACUAUAACAGAAAACAAAAUAGAGUACAAAAGAGAGAAUACAAAACCUAGGAAAUAAUUUCUAAGUCCAAAAGACACCUAAAAAUGAAAAUACAAAAAAAAUCUAAAUAGCACAAAAUGUUUAACGGUUCAAAGGCCCAUAACUUGCUCUUUUGAUUUGAUGCCUAGCUAAAACAUCUCUUAGACUAGAGCUAAAACAUCUCUUAGACUAGAGCAUAAGCCCCUUAAAAUUCUCUUGAACUACUACCCUUAGCAUAAUUAAACUCAUUUAAACUCACUAUAUUUAUAACUACCAAGAGGAAAUAUUUCUUUAUAAACUUUCGAUGUGGGAUACAAAGACAAACUCAAUAUAUUCUAAUAAGACUAAACAUCUAAGUAUAUCUGGAUCGGUAAUUGAAUCUUUUUUGUUUUCCCUGUUUCAGGGAAGAUAGUUCAACAAGUCUAAAUGCUGUUAUUAAUUGAAUGAAACCUAUUUUUUUUUUUAAAUACUUUAUAUGUGGAGGAGUGGAAAGGAAAACCCACUGGAAUCGAAAAAGUGUGAAAAUAUUUAGUUCUCGUUUUAUAAUGAGAAAUUAAGACUACAUGUGAAUUAUUUGGGGCAACCUUAAGACAAAGAUUUAGCAAUGGAGCCUGGACUGUAGUUUAGAUGCUUUUUAUAGCAUUUUCUGUAAUUUUUUUUCUUGUUUACUGUUGGACAGCUGAUUGGGCAUUGUGUUCCUUUGAACAUGAGUACUACACUCGUAAAAAUUGUCCUGCAUAGUGCAUAUCAAUAAAAUUAUGAUAUUUUUCCUUGAAAAGCCUUUGAUUCUUCCACUCAACGAAGAACUAAUUUGAUUAAGAUCCAAUAGACAACACUGAUAUGGAUUUUUCGCCUGGUCUUGACACUGAGGCACAAGUCCUUAAUUAAGUAGUGAAUUCUACAAUUGAAUUUUUAGAACACAAAAACUUGUAAUUGCAAGGCAAUGCCCCUUAAUGUCCUUUUUUUUAAUUUAAUAGAGAAAAUUGUACCAAUCAUCCUUCACAUAUUACUGAUAUGAAAUUUUAGUCUUUCAAAAUUCAAAUAAGCGAUCUUAAUUAUGCACAAAUAAAAAACACUCACUUUUAAUCCCUUGCCACCUUUUCGGCCAAAUUUUUGCCAAAAUAUGUCACGAAUCAAUCACAUGAUCAAUUUUUGAAAGUUAAAUUUGGUAACUCAUUUAACAUUGAACCAAUUUCUCACUUAAUCUUCCAUUUCUCCUAAUUAUUCUCUACCUAAACCCAAAUCGACAUCACUCAUUUUUUCUCUUACACCACCAUCCUUCCACACCAUUUCCAGUUUCAUCACUGUUGCCACUGCCAUUUGUCCCCUUCUCACUCCUUUCUCGCCACCUCUGCCCUUUCUCCCUCAUUCCUCCUUUUCUUUCCCCAUCUUAUGGGUCUUGUAAAUAGAUCUAUUUCUUUCGCCCUCUAAUUUUUAAAAGCCAUGGAAAUGGUUUUGUUAAGUUUCAAACAUUUGCUGUUACUUUGUUGAUUCUUGUGGUCAUAUGGGUGAUUUUGGGGGUUUUACUGGUAUUGUAUAUUUCUUGUUGGUCAUUUUUGUCAAAUCGAGUAGAGAGUAAAAACUUGAGAGAAUUUUGUGAGUACGAGAUGGCGAUAUACAGUGGUUCUAUUGUAGAUGUUGCCGGAAUCUAGCAUGGUAGCUCUUGUGAGCUUUGCAAGAAAAUAGAAGGAAGAAGAUGAUAAAAAAAAAAAGCAAAAAGAAAAGAAACGAAAGAAAGUAAAGAAUGAAGUUUUACUGGGAUUGUGUCAUUUUAGUUAGUUUGGCACUUGGAGAAUAAUUGGGAGAAAUAGUGGAUGAGGUAAGAAAUAGAUCAACAUUAAAUGAGUUGCUAAAUUUGCCCCUAAAAAAUUAUUCAUGUAAUGGGUUGGUGAUAUAUUCUGACCAAAUUUUAACCAAAAAGGUGACAAAUGAAAAAAAAAAGAGCACUUUUUAUCUGUUAGAAAUUAAAAUCUUUCAUUUUAAUUCUAAGGGACUAAAACUUUACAUCAGUAGUAAUAUGUGAAAGACAAUUAGUGUAAGUUUUCUAUUAUACAAACCCCAAUAUUUACAGUCCAAAGCUACGCAUGGAAAACAUCAUAAUACUGUAGCAUACAUUUUUUACCUAAAAGAAGGCGACUUUGUCUUUCUCUGCUAUUAAGGGCAUGCAAAAUUUGGGAACCCCCCCCCCCCCUCCACACCUGCUGCGUUUAUUUCCAAUCACAGAAAUGAAUAAUUUGUCAGAAACACUGAAAGAGUGUCCCUAGGUAAACUGUUUACACCUUCUUGACACUUUCAAACAUAUAUUGGCGCAAUUUUCUUAUGCAUCGAAAAGGUUAAUGAGUUAGUUAGUUAUUCCUGCAUUGUCUUCCCAGUCAGAUUAUCAAUUUCAUAAUAUUAGAUUUAAGCAUUCGAGGAUACAUCAUGCAUUUUUACAAUCUUAAUUUUGAAUGAUGUUGCAAGGGAUAAGAGUCUCUACAUCACUUUCCAUUUUCCUUUUUUUUUUUUUUUUGGUGGUUAAAUACUUUUGAUUUGAUUCAACCAGCAAAGGCUCGCACCGAUCCUGAGUUAUCAAUUCUUGUAGCUAUGAGCUAUGAGUUAUCUUAUCCCCUCAGGGGGAAAGGCGCAGCUCGGGAGGUAACGUUCCAUUCCUUUCCUCACGUACUGCUCUCUGAGAAGGGAGUGGCUGGCUCUUGAAUCUCAUUCUUCAUCUUCUUUUUGCUAGGAAAUUGGAAAUUUCCGUUUGUGUAAUUUGUUUUCUUUAUGAAUGGAAACUAUCACAUCAAAAAAGAUUACUGGGGUAGCAAAAUAUAUCUGUGCAUCACGAUGAUAUAGUAUAAUAUUUAAGCUGUUACUUCAUGCUCGGGUAAUCUUGGGCUUGACUUCUAGAGUUUGUCUUUUUCCGUCGGCGGAUUCCUUCGAGGUGAUGACAAUUUUAGAAAUAUAAGAUUCAACAACAAGGACUAAUAUAUAUAUAUAUGCAUGCAAAUGAACUUGAACUAUUGCCCCGUUAUCUUCUUCUUCUGCUAAUUAUAUUUUUGUGUUUGGAUUGCAAAUUUAUCUCAAAUAAUAUUUCGCUCGCAUCAUAAACACAUUUUUCAAUCUACCUUUUUAUAUUUUCAACUACUUUUUAUUUCGCAUACAUCAUAUCACAAAAAGUGCUGCAGUAAUUAUUCCAAAUAAUAUUUUAAAUAAUACUCUAUCCAAACAUUACUUUAUCUUCUGGGGGCUUGUGUGAUAACUACUGUGGCUUUUAUGGCUUUCUCUUAUCUCUGGGAUUACCGAGUAAUUCUACUUUGAACCCAAAAUUGUUCCGCUUUGGACUUUACGUGGAAAGUUUGAUCCGUCAAUUUUAUACUAGCAAUUGUUAAUUUCAUCUUUUGUUUGCUUUGAUUUGGAUCAAAAGCUGCAAAAGAUUUUUAAAAACUAGCAAUACUAUAGCUCAAUCCAAUAAAUAUUUUGCGAAUUCUGUGGAACAAUUUUUAACGUUAAAAUUAAAAAUUAUUUCGAUGAUUUUACACAAGGAACAGACAGGGCACUACAUGGCAAUCAAUAACGAAGUUAGGAAGCCAAGUAUAUCUUGGAGAGACAAGUUUCCAAACAACUUAAAUUUGAAGAUGCUAUUAUUGACAGCCAAAAUGGUUUAAGUAGUUGAGGUGCAAAAUUAGAUGAGCCCUUGCUACCUUAUCCAAUUUUAAUUUUAAUAUUUGAUUUUUGAUGAUUUUGUACAAAAACAGAUAGUACACCGGAAGACAAUUUGAGAAUUAAUUAGCCAUUUUCUGACUGCAAGAAUCUAUGGAUAGAAAUUUUCAUAUAUAUAUAUAUAUAUAUAUAUAUAUAUAUUCAGUCAUCACAUGUUGGCUUUCUCUUGACAAGACUGUUUUCUUUUAGUACAAUGCAGGAGCGGUCGAAAUUCUCUGCAGCUUCCUUUUCAAGGGGAUACUUCAAUUGGACUCCAACUGGAGGCUUUGGCCUGAAAAUAUUCUUAGGAAAAAGUUGAAUCCUCUUCUCCAACUGAAAAGAGAAUAUCCAUUAUAAACGACUUGGACCAAAUUCUGAUGUGUAUAUUAGUAUUUGUGUUAGUGAUUUAAAGAAAGGGAUAAUUUCGAAAACCUCCCCUGUGAUUUCUAAUAAUUGCAGAGACUUCCCCUCAAAUUUAUUAAAUUACACCUAUCUCCCUUGCUUUUACCGUUUAUACAACAAUAUAGGCCUAAAAGACUAUUUUUUUUCAAAAAGCCUAAACUAUCCUUUUUUACAAAAAUAAAAUAAAAAUUAUUUUGCCAAUUGCUUUCUUCCAUUUGUCAACCAAACCCACGAUACUAACAAACAGGUCUAACAAAUACUAUAAUUCCAAAUUCUAAACCCAAUCAAUUCCAUCAUGCAUUCAAUUCCGAAGGUUCGUUCCACUUCCUUAUACUAUAUAAGAAUGAGUUUGGGUCAAAGAAUGACUUUGAAUUUCAACCGCAAGAGUAGGGGUAUUUUGAGAUUGUGAGGUUGUUUUGAGUGUAGUUAUAAUAUUGGGUACUACUUUAGAUAGCAUGUGCAUUAUUGUAUUUACUGAAAUGUUCUUGUAUUGUAAAAGAUGCAGUGAUGAUUUGUUCAAAUAUUUGAAUAGUUUGGAAAUGUGAGAUUAUUUGAUCAUCUUUUUUAUAAUGGAUACAACCCAUAAUAGCUUCUUUGUUGGUGUAAUUACUUAAAUGUCCUUGUAGAGACAUUCAUUUUGGUUUGUAUCAAUUAUUAUUAUUACUUUGCUAUUAUAACUUGAAGAACUUCAAACGUCAUUUUCAUCUCAAUUAAAGCAAGGACAAUGUGGUUUAUUAAGGAAUUUAUGAUUGAACAUUUGUUUCAACUUCUAUUCUUCAAAUGUCUGCCCCUUCACAUUCAUCCGUUAUGCUCCUUUCGUCUACCGGUAAAUACUUAUUUUUAUUGCCAUUGUACUCUGGAUUUCAAUAUGGUUCCCUAGUGAAGUUAUUCUUGAUGGUCGAACUUGAGGUGAGGUUUCAUUCCUUUUUUUAAUGCUAUGAUUUGCUUUGUAAAAUCGCAAUUUCUAUUGUUAGCUAAAUGCUUUCAUUCCAAAAUUGGAUACUCUGUUAGCACAAUUUAAUGUUGAUAUUAUUAUUUCCCCACAAAAUUGAUUGUUCUAUAUAAUUUAAAUGGUGUGGUUUUGUUGGAAUAGGUUUCGAUCAACAAGAAUGUUGGCUACUAUGAUAAAAAAGCCUUCACCAUAGUUGGCUACUUUCAUCAACAAGAAUGUUGUGUAGAUGCAUCUUUAAGUGGAUAAUCAUUUUGUUUAUUGCCAUUAUCUGAAUCGUUUGGGUAUCUGUUUAAAGUUCGUUUAGUCUUGUUAAUAAAAAGCUCAUAUACAAGUAUUUGUUUCAAAAUAUAUGAACUGAGUAAGAUAGCAUCCAUGAUUUCCUUCUCUAUCUCCCAGUAUACAGUAGAUAUUUUAUUACUUCAUUGUGUUAUACAAUGUGCGUGAGUUUUUUAAUAUUCACUUGAACUACCAUAAAAUCUUUUUUAACCACAGGCACCAAACACCCGCGCAAUGCGAGGGCAUUCCCCUCCUAGUUUUAGAAAUAUGCUUAUCAUAUGGUUCCAUGGAAUGGUUAAACUCACAAUCAACUGCCUUAUGGUUAGGCUUGCAUAAUCUUUAAGAUAGGAUGCUAUGGUUUGAUUCCAUAUAAAUGGCUCAACUCCUACUACAUGAGCCAUAUUAUGGCCUUGAAGAAAAUCUUUAGGGGAGAUUUAGACAUGGAUGGGAUUAAUUAAGUUUAAGAGAAGGAAAGAUAUCAUUAUGACUAUAGAGAUUUUCAAGAAAUUCAUUUUGUUAAAAACCAAAAUUCUAUUUGCAACUAAUCACACCCCAAAUUUCAAACCCAAUGCCCACACCUUCUCAAAAUAAAAUAAUUUAGCCUACCAUUAAAUCUUCAAACAUGUUAACGUCUUAAACACAGAGAAGAAACUUUAUCUCUAUAGCAACCAUAACAAAAAAUUGUCAAGUAUAAAAAGAAAUAUUAAUGUACUUAUUAACAUCUUAAAAAGUUUUUUGGAUGGAUGAUAGACAAAUUAGCAAAUUUACCAAUUUCAAUCCCUCUUCCUCUUUUGGCCAAUGAUUGCAUUAUUAUUUAGUACCUCUUCAUCUCCUUUUAGUUUGACUAUAAAAUCAGAUUUUACUUCAACCAUUAAAUCUAAUCACUUAACUAGAGAGGUCAGUAUAAUUUAUAAAACUUAAAAGAAGCGGAGUGAAAUUGUCAUAAAACUCAGGUGAGGUUUGUGAAAUUAUCCCUUAAAGAAAACAAGGCAACCAGACUUUUGGAUAAGAACUUAUGUUGGAAGAUAAUCAUGAAUGAAAGCUAGAGUUUUUCUAUCAUUCAGUAAAUGCGGCAGAUUUCAGACCGAGAGAAAAGAAAACCACCUAUUUUCCAAAUUAGGUCAGGAUUCAAGAGCAUUAAACUAUAUAUAUAUGGUAGAUAAAUUAAUGAUAUGAAUGUUUUUUUUUUUUUUUCAUUUGCAGCUGGCGUGUGCAUGGUGACGUUGGCCUUACAAUAAAAAUUCUUUUCAACCUUGUAUUAAGCAAGUAAUAUAAUGUGCCUAUCCAAAUAUUUGGCCCUCAGUCGAGAUUAAUUUUCUAAUGAGAUUGUCAUUUUUUUUGGAACAUUAUGACGCUGAACUUUGUCAUUUUCCGUCGGCGGAUUCCGCACGAGGUCACCUCCGCGUCGAAUAAGGAAUAAAAGCUUAAAAACUUUAGCACAAAAACCAUAGAAAAUCGACGUAUCGGACCCAGUACCUCUUCUUUAUUACCAUGAAUGCUUGGUCCGAGUCAUGACCUGGUGGUAUUGGCAGUAUCCUUUUGGGCGCCCCUAAACCAAAUUAUUGUAAAGCAAAUCCCAGAGUCGGGGCCAGGGUCAAGGCUCAAAAUUCACAGCUCCUGCAACGGGCAACGGUGCAGACCAGCUUCGGUUCUUCCCCUAUCACACGACAAUCAAGGCAAAGGUAUGCAAAGUACACAGAUUAAUUUGUGAUAAUGACCUAUUGAUUUUUAUUGCACCAAUGAUCAAUAUCACAAUUGUAAGGAGUGGCAAAAUGAUCAUGACAAUCAAGAGGAGCAAGAUGCGAUGCUUGCAAUAUGAGACAACAUUUCAUAUUCGAUCUUGAUGGCUUGCAUAUGCACAUAUCAUUUUUCUCCUGUCCUAAUUUUGCAUGUAUUGUUGUUUAGCUUCAAUUUGGGAUAUGCCUUAUCUACAUUGUUCUUUUUUUUACCAAAUUGCGCAAGUUAUAUCUCUCGCGAAGACAUGACAUAAACAUUAUGGUGGAGAAGUUCAACUUGACAGUUUGAAUAUUAAAGAUUGAAUCUUAUAGAAUUCAAAAUCUGGAUGAUCAAAUUUAUUAAAGUUGAAACGUCAGAAACGCCAAUAUAUAUAUAGAACAUGUCAAACAAAACAUCAGCCUGUAACUUCCCUAGGUAAAUCUAGAGCUCGGUGUUCUGUAGUGAUUGUGCUAAUUUGAGCUCGUAGAUAUCAAUAUAGUAACUGGAAAAAAUGUAGCUUAGAAGUAGCUAGAAGUAAACGACAGCAUAUGAAACAUAAAGAACUCCAUUAGUUCUCAAUGUUCUGAUGCUUCUUGGCCGUGUAGCCAGCCAUCCAUCUCCAUCUCCAUCUCCCUCUAUCCUAAGCUGGGUAGGGAUUGUUGGGGAGCAAGGAGGCAGUGGUUGGCAGAAUAUAGGAAGGAAACUCUAUAUCUUUUUUUGACUCAUAAUAGAGUAAUUUACUAAUAAUAUGGUGUCAAUUGGGCUUCGCCACCGAGAACCGGACCAGUUCAGCCCAAGUUAACCUUUACAUCUUUGCACCUAAGAUCAGCCCACCAUUCACAAGGCAGUACUCUUUUUUUUUUUCUUUAAUAAAAGCAAAUUUCAUUAACAGAUCCCUGAAAUUCAUCCAGUUUGAUUUGAUUUACAUUACUAUUCUGAUGAUAGGUUAAACAUGCAUUAGACAUUACAGAUUUGUAAUUUAACAGAUGGAUCUGACAAAAUACAAUAGUUCCUUAAUCCUUACUUUGUGAGACUAGUAGGGACAGAAUCCUCCUCCAUCUUUCUUGGCUCUGUACUUAAUUCCCAGCUUGUACCAUUAAACAUGAAGCAUGUUCUUGGCUAAAAAAUACACCGCGUUUUAGGUUGAAUUCAAGCUUGCACAAGUUCAUAUAAGGAGCUCAAACUUAUUCUCUCCUAAAACCACUAAAUCACCAAGGAAGCUCUCACAAAGCAACAAGGUAAAGAAAUGUUUAAACGAAUUUAUGCUUUAAAGAAAUGUUUGGAACUUUUAAACGAAUUUAUGCUUUAAAGAAAUGUUUACAAACGUACGUAGCUUCUUAGGAUUGCGUAGAAAGCCACAAAGCCGUUGUAGUCUGCGGUAUAAAUUUUAGUUUGAGAUGAAGUUGGUUGGGAGCACCGGACGUGAUGCAUUGCAAAAUAGAAGACUCACAAGAGGUGUCAUUUUCAAUCUAAAACAAGUACACAACAUUAAUUCACUGGAUGCCCCCAUUUGUCAGAACACAUACCACCACUUUUGCUUCUUGUCUUCUCUGCCCAAAAUUCCUCAGGCUAUUACUUCCAAAAGUUAACAGGUGCAAAUGUCAAUGGUGAUGAAUUAUUGAAGCAACAUAGAUAGAGAGAUUGAAUUCAUUCUUACAUGGAUGAUGAGCGAGAGAUGUACACUACUUGAAAUUACGUGUUAAAAUAUUUUGAGUUUUUAUCGCAAAACUAAUUAAUUGUGAGUGGAGCGCUUCAUGAUUUUUAUUAAUUGAUUCAGUUAGUCUUGACUAACAGAUAUGGUAUUAGUUCUUUUUUUUAAAAAAAAAAAAAAUUUAUUUUGACGCUGCGAAUUAAUGUAAGAGAAGAAAAGAAAGUAAUUUAUAAAGAGCAGUAGGAUGGAAUUACAUUUUAUAGCAACAACUAUACGCAAACACGGGAUUUGUGGACAUAAUCACAUACAAUUAGGCAAACCAAAAUAAGCAAACUCCCUAAGUUGUUGUUGUACUUUCAGAUGAUGAACUUAAUAGCUCCUCCAGCAGAUCAGCUCCUAAGUCUUCAAGCUCCAGAACAAUUUUUUUUGGGUUUAUUUCUUUCUUUUGAUUUCUUCUGCGUUUUGACAGACUUCUAAUCUUGUGUGUUUCCUUGAGAACAGCAGCUGGUGAGCAACCAUUCUCCCAAUUGUGCUUAAUCCCUUCAAGUGAUUCUUGGACUCGAUCAGCUGGAAAGUUGAGCGACGCCAUGGGACCCCGCAGUGAAAAUGCUGCUUGGUCAUAGGCAAAAGCAGCUUCCUCCGGGCUGUCAAAUGUUCCAAGCCAAACUCUCAAUCCAUGCCUUGUUGAAUCCCUGAUUUCUGCUGCAUAUUUUCCCCAUGGACGCUUCCGGACUCCUAUGUAACUCUUUUCUUUCUUGUUAGAUUUCUUUUUCAAGCUUGAGGUGACCUCUUCUUCAUGACUAACUCCUUUGCAAGAACCUGUUUUGAUUGACUCUGUGGCUUUGGAUUCCCCACUCUCAUGUUCGGUUUUCGAAGUUGUACUAUCGUCAAGAAAAACGUUCUCAUCCCACCAGAAUGAAGACUCAAAUGGGAAGAAUUCAGAGGAAGCAGAACCCAUAUCUAGAUUGAAUAGGUUGAAGCUCUGCAUCAUAGCCAUGUUUAUACCUACUUUUGGAAUCAAGCGAAGCACAGCGUUUAUAUAUAGUAGGAAUUCAACUAGAAAGAUAAGGCUGAUGGAUUAUUUGACUUCUUUCUUGGCGCAAUAAUGGUUUCCUAGAAGAGAAGGACCAUGAAUCUGGGGUUGGAUCGAGUCAAGGGUACUUGCUAGAAAGUUUUGACGAAGAAGAUUUCAUCGCAAUUAAGACACAAUAAAUCUACAGAAGUUUUAAAUUUGAUGCAGGUGAAGUUGCGGGGCCAUGGUCCCUCCAUCUACCUCAACUCUAUGCCCUAAAUCCAAAGAACAUGGACAGUAAACGUUAGCCUGUGGGGUUGUUGACGUACAUCGAAAGAACAUGGACAUUAGCCACUUGGUUCUUUUUUUGUUUUUGUUUUAUAGCAUGCCACCAAUCAUAGGAGCAUAAUAACUCGUAAACCAUGGAAUAAACACCCAUAUAACAAUAAUGAGACUGAUAAUCCCUCUCUCCCUCUCUCUUUAGGGUAAUUAAGGUUAGUUAUUGAUAAUAAAAGAAAACAUCCAAGACUUUGUUGAGAACUAACCCCAGUAUGCACAUAUCUCUUCUCAAUAAAAUCUCGCAUGGUUACAAGUACAAAAGCAGUUCAAACUGUUUUAGAAAUCCUACGACUCUCGUGGGUACCAACUGAUUUUGUAGUCCGGUAAUUAUCAGCAGGUCCCGUGAUCGAUUUUCAUGUGCUAUUUUAUUGUGUAUCUUGGAGCAGAACUCUACACAUUCUCAGGGAAUUAGUCUAGUCAAAAAAUUAGGAUAUCUCUAAGUAAAAAAAAAAAAAAAAGAAGAAAUCCUACGGUAAUGAAAUUGAGUAUAUCCAUUAGUGAAAGAUUUUAUAGAAUGAAAGUAUAUUUUUUUAUUAAAGAAAAUCAAACAACCGUUGGCACAGGGCUCAAAUUAAAUUGAGAUCAUGAUCCAACAUGGAAUUGAGGGAAGCUUGAAUUCAAUCAAUCAGCUCAAAAUCCUCAAGUUUCAACAUCGCAUUGAUUGAUUGAUGGUCAUCAGCUAGCCAAGUGACGCAUCAUAAUCGUACGGCUUUGACGUCAGCCUCGACCAAGUGGCUGGUUUGAUUGCCUAACGGAGCAUUUAUGAGGCCGCCACAUUUUUGGCUUUUUGCUAUGGAAAAAUGGGUCAAUCCGAACUCGACCCAUUUGGUCCAAAAUAAAAAAGUUUGUUCAGUCUAAUCUUUAAUUGAAUCGGGUGCAGUUUGGAUGUAAAUAUUAAAUUCAAAUUAAAUAUAUGCUGAGUUUGGGCCUCUUUAAAUUCAGUUCAAACCUAACUAAAGCCUAACCCGUGUAUAAGUAUAAUUAUAUAUAUAUAAUAUUCAUAAUUUAUAAUUAUACAUAUAAUAACAUAAAAUAUUAAUAAUUUAUAUAUAAAUUUAUAGUAAUUCAUGAUUAUUAAAUAGAUUAAAUUUUAUAUGUACUGAUAAUGUAUGCAUUAUCACGAUUAGAUCCAGACACAUAUGCAGAAGUUAGAUUUUAAAUUUAAAAUUUACAUAAUUGUUAUUCAUCCAAAUUUGAUAAUGUAUGCACUAUCAAUGUAAGAAAGAUUAAUCAUAUUAAAUAUACAUUAUAUAUAAUUAUGUAUUAAUUUUGAGCUUGAGCUUAAAUCGAUUUGUACUCGAAACUUAUAUAAAAGUAUGAGUUAAGUUUGAGUUUUCUAAUUUGGGCCCAAGUUCAAAAACUUGAAACUCCAAAGUCCUAUCAAUUCAUGAGUCGAGUUUGACCUUGUUAAAACCCUACUAACAAAACUCGAUCCACAGCCCUAGUGACAAAUGCAUUUACAGAAAGAAACGUGCGGAGUAAAGGCCAUUUAAUUUAUUUUUAGAUUAAUUUCAAGGUGGUUAUUGGAAGUAAAGAGAGGGCAGGUGAAAUAAAACUCUCUUAUAUUAUUGAAGGCAAAAAAGGUCAAGAUUGAGCUACGAUUUUUUUUUUGUCUACACAGGGGUGUCUGGGUCAAUCCUUACGGGGCUUGACUAAUCCCCUGCGGUCCGGGAGAGGAGGCCCCACUCCACUUCGAGUACAUUAACAACGGGGACUCGAACCCUGGACAAGCCAGAAAGGUCGCCAUACCCUAAGGAGGGGGAGCGGACCGUUCGACCUAUCCCGUGGGGGCAGAAGACCAGCCACGUAAAGUGGCAAGUUUGUGGGAGGCAGGGAUUGAACCCCUGACCUCCAGCAUCACCAAAGAUGGUGAUGGCCACUGGACCAAAUGGCCAGUGGCUAGUCAAGAUUGAGCUACAUGUCUCUACUAAUUAAGAAUACAAUCUUUCUUCUCAGGAUAACGCUACACCACAAAUUUUUAUGUCACAACUUUCUUUAAAGAAGGGGGGGGAGGGGGGGAGGGGAGGAGGAGGAGGAGAAAGAAACCAUGCUCAUGCAUCUCAAGUUAAGAACUUAAAAUUGCAUUCGGAAUUGAUAAGGGGUGAUCGUGUUAUUCCGGAACGUAACAACUUUUAACUGUCUGUGACUAUAUCAUUGGUUGUAGUUCACUAACUCGGCCUUGGAAAAAUUGAAAACAUAAAAAGAUAAAUUUAGGCCAGCUUUGCUGGAAGAAAUGCUAUAACUAUCCCGCAUGCAAAUUGGCAAAGGACCAAGUUUCUGUAGCUAGGAAGAUAUUUUUAUUUGGUUACGCUACAGCCUCGUAGGCUAUAGCAAGAAAUUCCAAAGGGACCAUUGGCUGAUGAGGAUUGAUAAACACAGAACAAAUAGAAAGUUUGGUAUCAAUGACUAAGACAUUGUAAAAAUCGCUGUUACUUUUUAUCCAUCGAUAUCAAUAUCAAUGCCAAGUUGCUUGUAUCAUUGAGUAACAUUUUGCUGCAGCUAGUAGUUGAUUCAGCAUGUCUUUAGUAGCAAUUUUUUUUUUUUUAAACUUCUUGAUUUAUCUAGUAUGAAUUCGAUCGGCCUUUAAUUAAUUUCACUUGACAUAGCGAUCGUUGCUAAUUUCAGGAUUUUAUCCUUUACAGUUUCUUAAGCAAAGAAAAUAUAAAUAUAAAUAUAAAUGAAGCAAGUAAUAAAUUUUAUCUUCGAGUAUGACUGAUUCGAAGGAGAGAUUAAACUAAGACAAAACGGAGCCAGAAAUAUAAACUCCUAGACAAAAAAAAAAAAAAAAACUGAAAUAUGGGACGUGAAGACACAGACUGCGAUGUUUUGCAUGCGGUUUGACCCUACAUGCCUUCUUUGUCUCUUCCGUCGGCGGAAGGUCCGGGCGACACCUUCUUCCUUUAUCCAUUUUUUCUUCUAGUGAAACCGAUAGCAUUAAAUACCAAAAGAAGCAGAAAAUCUGCCGGUGUUAAGGUUUUUCUUGUAAAACAAAAGCGAAGUUUGUAUGUUGUCUAGGGUUUCCUCUAAUAUUUAAUUCAUUUAGGGGAUAACUUUCAAGAGAAAAGUAUGUAUUCUGUUUUUGUUCGUUCGUAGGAAAAGAAGCGACCAGUUUCCUUUUUCUCGGAAAGAUUUUUUUUGGGGUAAUGGUUAAAAAUAAUUAAGGGAGAUUCUAAAGCCCCUUUUGGGUAGUGAUCAGAAGAGGAAUUCUUUUGACGUAUUUGGUGUUUUAUUCUCUUGUAAAUCUUCUUGUUCCUAUAAAUUAAUGAAGUGAGUUUCUUUGCUCAAAAAAAAAAAAAUUUGUCCCUUUUGGGUAUUGUAUUUUCAACUUAAAUUUGUCGUUCAAUAGUAAAAAAAAAAAAGUAUUCUUGACCCUUAAAUUGUAACAAGUUUAAAAAUUUAAGCUAAUAUCAUCGUUGAGAAAUGCAUAUUACGAGAAUGAUACUAAAAGAAACCAUAGAGUUUUCUAACAAUUUUGUGUCACCAUAACAUAAUAGUUUGUGGUUUUCUUUCUUUUUUUUUUAUUGCAAAUAGAAAUUAGUUAUUCUUUGUUUUUAAUCGAGUGGUGCUGAAAAUUGACGUUGACUGUCCUGCAUAAAUUGACUAAUGCCAAUAAAUUUUAUUGUAUGUUGUCGCAGGGCGACCGGAAAGUUUGAAACUUGAAAGUCAAAUAUUGUUCAUCAUUACCAGUCGUGGUGGUUAGGUGGCAACUCCACAGCCACCCUGAAAGACCAAUUGGCCGGGGCCGACGGCGGCGGAAGUGUGCGUCCCACCACCCAAAAAAAAAAAAAGAAAAAGAAACCAGUCUUCUUGUUUCCAAGCUCAGGCGGUCAAAGUCCUAAACUGAUAGUUGUCGAAUUCGUUCUCGAACAUCUAUCUAAUAUAAUGCAAAUGGAUGUUUCUCAAUUAGUUCAAUCCCAGCCCCAGUCCAAAGCAUAAACUAAUUCCAAAUCUACACUUUUAAUCAUUCUCACUUACCAAUAAUCACAUUUCUUUUGCAUGUAUGAAUUAGCAAUCAUAAAUCUUUCGACUUUCCUAGCAUAAUAAAGGAUUAAUUCUUCUUACAACAACACUUUAUGCUCUAGUCCAUUUGAAUGCAUAACAAACAAUCUCAUCUUCAAUUUGAAUUUCAUGCAUUUGGACUUGCUAAUUAAUGUAAACGCCUAUCAUAAUGUGAAAGAUUAACUCUAUAGUAAAAUCUUCCUUUUAUGCCUUCGUUGACAUCUUAGACCAAUCUUCCACCGUUCAGAUUUUCCAUGGUCCUAUUUGCUUAAAAUCAUUGAUUUGUCUUCUCAACAAUUGUAAGGUAACUUGCAUACAUAAACACAAAUUUUACGAUUUCGCUAAUGGGUGUUCAAUGAACACUUGUUAAGAGAACCAUCAAGUAUUAGUUUUUUUUCGAUAAAAGCAUUGUUAAUUUGUGAAAUAAAUAUGAGUACGUGCAUUUAUAUGAUAAAUUUAAUAUAAAUUAGAUGUACUACAGGUAGGUUGGGUGUCCAGUGAAAAAUCUCAAAUUCAAGACACAAAACUGACUUAUCUCCUCUACAAUUUUAAGGAAGGUUACUAUGUAUGCAUAUUAAUUCAGUACACAAAACCGUUCAAGCUGAUAAAAUCUGGGGAGUUCUGUAGUACGUUUUGGGUGCUACACUAGUAAAUAUUAAUUCACCUGUACAUGUGUAAACAGAGACAUCAAUCUUUAGAUGAAUUUAGGAGUUUAAAUUAUUGAUCAAUAAUAUGAUAAAAUUUUAUUAGAUUACAAUCACGUGGAACUGUCUAACAAUCUAAUUAACUAUACUUCUCUACCAAGUAAUAUAACAGAUUGAAAGUGAAAACAAGAAAAUACCUACGGCUAACAAAAAAAAAAAAAAACUACAGCUAACGAAAUUUUGUCCAUUAUGGAUGCAAGUUCCACUAAAUAACCUUUUCCAAAAGUGCAAAACUUUUGAUCAAUUUAAAUUUUAGGGAAGCAUCCUUCAUGGAUGUUAGCAGCCCAUGAGCAUAAAAACUGAGAAAAUGAAUGCACCUAAGUACUAAGCCGCCCCAUAUUUGUAUCUAUUCCACCUCGACUACCACAUUCAAUGGAGCUUUUGACCCAACUCCUGCCAGUAGCUUUAACUUUUCCAGUAGGAUACUACAAAUUGAGAUGAAAGUUAGGCAAUGUAAUUGAAAGGUGUAACAUUACUAUGAAGGCUAAUAAAGAUCAAAUCCUAAAGUUAUGCAUGAAACAUGCAAUUAUUGACCAUCUCCUUCUUACUCAAAAAGAUCCAGGGUAGAAGAGAAAAUGCCGAUCCUCUGCAAAAUUCUAUAUGCUAAAGCUUUAAAUGAAGGCAAUGUACUAGGCACAUCUCAGGUAAAAACUUGAAACUCUUUUCAGUUUUUCUGCAGCAAAAUCAGGUAAUCUCAGAAGUAACACCAUGAUUUGCAUUAGUCUAUCUCAGUUAUUUAAACUUAUUUUCUGUCAGUGGUAGUUUUUAUUAUGUACUACGAUCGAAAAAACAAAAGGGUAAUCUGAGAUGGAAGGAAACAUGUUCCACAUAAGAUUUCGCCAGUCUCUUCAAGAUGGAGUUCAAGUAUUCCAAUUCUCCUAGCUUGUACAUAAGCAGGUAAACAGAAGGGUACUGUGCACAUACAAGUAUUAUCUUGAGCAUUUAAUUGGGCUAUUCCUGGCUAAUCGAGUUCUCUCUAACUAGAACUUGUUAUAAGAAAUUUACAUUUGGUUUUCUUUAUUUUCUUUCACACUGUCACUCCUGUAAAUAGUUAUGUUAAACAGCAAAAGGGUGGCGACAAAGAAUAGUUUUGUGUGAUGUAUAAGGAUUAGACACUUGCAAUCAAGAGAUACACUAUAUUACCAACUAAAGAACUAGCUGAAACACAAGUGAAGUUGUUGACCUCAAGAUUGAGUAACAUUAGAAAAUAAAAGGCUAGACACUCGCAAUCAAGACAUACAGUAUAUUACCAACCAAAGUACUAGCUGAAUCACAAAUGGAAACGUUAUUCUUGAAAAUAAUUAACAAUAGAAAGUAAAAGACAAGAAAUUAUGAUAUCAGAUUGGCGUUAAAAAGCUGCUUCGAAUAAUAUUAAUGAACUGAGGGAGAAUGGAUAUGUCAUAGAAGAUGAUCUUCGAAAUAGAAAAGGUUGAUCAAAUAAUAACAAGUUCAAAAUAGAAAUAAUAAGAUAACUUUUAAUGGUUGAGAGAAAAUAUACGACUACCACUGGUAGGAUCUUCCAUCCCCCAAAGGAAUACUAUAAUAUGGAUACUAAGACUAACUAGUGAAGGAUUUUUUUUUCAAGAUAACAAGGUAAAUGGGGAACAGUUUUUCUGAUAUCAGUAGGGAACAUGACAAACACAAGCUAAGCUAAGUAUCAGGUUCCAAACACCAUGGACUCCAAAAAGGAUGAAGUACUGAAAGAUAUAAAUGUAACCAGCCUGCUUUCCAGUGCAAGAUGCAGGCAAGUGGUAAUAGAGUAGGUCAUUGAAGAUUUAACUCUCAAUGUCAAUCAUUAGCAGAGUUUCCUCCCCAGUUUUACAGUUGAAUUGUGUGUCUUUAUUUUAAGUGCUUGUACAUUUGAGACCAUUGGUGACUUCCAUACCAAAUGCACAAAAUUACUUUUUAUGGUUUAAAUCUGUUUUUUUUCAUGCUUGAUUUUGGAAUUUCCCGCUGAAGUCAUCGCAAAUAAACUAGGAAAUCACAAGCAUGGCUUGGUCAAUAGUAUCCUCUUCUUUGACACCAUUCAAUGAGUUUCCUUUUUCCCUCUAAAUCGUUAUGACAACCUACCCAAGGCCUAAAUCGAAUAUCAAUAGCGAUACUAGACAACACUUUCUCCAAAGGGUAGUGAUUCUAGGUCCAGGACAUAUCGAUGAUGUUAUGGAGGAAGAUACUAGACUAGCACAUUGAUACAUGCUAUCAUCUCUAGAUGUCCAAGCUUAUUAGUUGAAGUUCGUUAUAAUCUUACAGAAAAUGAAAGAAAAGUAUCUAAAAAGGAACAAUCAAUUAUGUAUGUCCAAUUGGGUGUCUUUUAUUAGCUCAAUAAAACAGAUUACGGAUAUAAAUGUUCAAUGGUAGAGCAUGGACAUGUAAUAUUCACAAAUUGAUCAAGUACCAGCUAUUUGGAACAUAAACUGUGAUUAUCAGCACAAAAAAUCCAGCAUCAAAAGGCAAUGGUGAAAACAAACAAUUAGGGUACAAAUGACUACGAAACUAUCUUUAUAGAAUAGCCAAGUUUAACUCUUUUUGAGGGUAAACUUAUUAUGAAGGUUAAGAAUGCCAUAGAUAAAGGUUCAAUGGUCUUUUCCUUCUGAAGGAAAUCCUUGAUCAGUUUCUAAAUAUAAUUCACUUCACGAGAACAUAAAUAUAUCUUGUCUUCAAUAUAAACAACGGGAUACAUUAUACAUCAGUGUCAUUGGUGGCCACAUACACAAUUUUCCCCCUUUUCACUUUUCGCUGUGAAUGAGUUUAGGGUUCCAGAAAUUGCUGAUAGUAGAAGGCAAAAGAUAUUAUUGGAUAUAUAGGCUGGCAAGGCACUAAUAAUCGAAGAGGAACAGAAAAAAAAAAAAAAAAAAGAUGUUCAAACUAGAAAAGCGAAGGUGGGGAUAUGCAAACUCCAUUUCACUUACUUCUGGAAUUAUUAGUUUCAGAUAAUAGCUCAUCUAACAGAUCAGAUCCCAAGUCCUCAAACACCAAAACAUCUUCUUGCUUAACUUGUUUCCCUUUUCCUCUACGUUUUGAUGCAGUAUUUCUCAUCCUGUGCGCCUCUUUCAGGGCUUCAACUGGCGAUGAGCCAUCUUGGUAACUGCAGAUGACCAUAUUCCUUAAUGAUUCCUGAACUUUCUCGAUGGGGAAAUUGAGGGCGGUGGUUGGGCCUCGCACCGAAAGGGCAGCUUGGUCAUAUGCUAAAGCAGCUUCCUCUGCAGUAGCAAAAGUUCCAAGCCAAACCCUCAUUCCGUUUCUUGUGGAAUCCCUUAUUUCAGCCGCAUAUUUUCCCCAUGGCCGCUUUCGAACACCUAUGUAGUGCUUCUCCUUUUCAGCAGGCUCUUGUUGAAUGCUAGUAGUAAAAAAAAUGGAGUAUUCACCACUAUUAUUUUUGCUGGAUGAACAACUAGUUUCCCAUGAGGAUUUGAAUACCCCAUCAAUAGUAUUCCAGAAAUCUUGAUCUUCGUCUUCCAUCCAUGAAGAUUCCAUCCUAAAAUUCAUUAGUUAGUUAUUCAUCCCAGGUAAGUAGAAUAUGGAUGAGAGAAAUAUGUGAUAGAAGAAACCUUGACUCUCGGAUAAUUUGCCAACAUGAAAGCUACUGGAAAUAAAUACUAGUGUGACUGCCAUUAUUUUAAUUUGAUUAUCUGGCUGCGACAAUCUAGCCUAUAAGCCUGCCCAUCAUAAAAGCAAAUAAAUAAAAUAAAAAAGCCUUGACUUGAUUUUUUAAUUUUUAUUUUUUUGACUAAUUAUUUAAUCGUUUUAACUAUUUUAAUGAAUUGAAAGACGAAUGUGCAGUUUUUUUUAACAUUUUCUUUUCAACCUCUUACUCCUAGUAAUUUGCUGUUUUUCCCUUCUAUUUGCUUCAUGAUUGACUACGUUUCCAUGCUUUUUCAUAGAAAAUGUAGCUUUGCCCCCAGCUUGGGAAAUCGUAUUAGUGUUUAGGUCUUUUCAUAUUUUUUUGGACAAUUUAGGUUAUAUCAUAUUAUUUGGAAAAACAAACCCACUAACUAGAGCAGAUUAUUUUUGGGCUAUUUAGCAUGGGAAAAAGGUAUGUCUAAUCUUCGUACUGUAUCUUGGAAAAGGGACAAAAAUGAUUGUCACUGUAGACGUUACUAAACCAACGGCUCCCUGUUAACCAUCACAAGGGCUCUUGAAGUUUUUGUGAAGUGAGAGGUCAAGGGCUUGACCGUUAUCUCCCAUCAAUUGCCAUAUUAUGUUGUUUUUCCAAAUUCAGCAAGGUGUCAAAAGGCACCUAUCUGAUCCAAAGAUAGUUUAGUUUUCUUUGGUUCCCUAUGACCCAGUUGAGUCUAUCUUCUUUCCCAUAGUAUAGGAGCAUGGAUAGGUGUAGGUGUUCGUGUAUCAUUGACGUUUUUAAAAAAAAUUAGAUGUGUCUAAAUUGUGUAAAACUAUGUGAACAAAUUGUGAUUUAUGACUAAGUUGCUUCUACAACUUUGUAGCAGAGAUGCAACAAACAUGUAUGAGGCAAUGUUUUAAAACUCGAAUUGGAGAGUGAGCUGAAAGACCUUCUGAUUCAUGGUUUGAUCAAUUCAAUUGGUUCAACUUCGGUUCAAAGGUUUAAUAAUUUUUUAUUUAUUUUAAUAUUAAAAUAUUGAAUAAAAUAAAUAUUUUUUAGAAAAUAAAAAUUGGUUGAACCUCCUAAUUUUUAUCGGUUCAAUCGGUUCUUGAGCGGGUUUGAUUGGUUCAAUUGAUUCUUUAAGUUAUUCAUUGAACCGGACCGAAGGCAUAUCCAAUUCAUGGUUUGACCGAUCAAACGGGUCAAUCUAGUUCAGUUUUCAAAACACAUGUACAAGGUCUACAUAAAUACAAAUUGAAUAUCGCACCUCUAUUAUGAAAUUGCACAAAAAAUUAAGGAAUAAUUUUAGAAACUUCCUAUACGAUGUUUGACAAUUGCAGCCACCUUUCCCGAGGUACACUAACCUGCUUUGGUAUUCUCAAAACACUAUAUUAACCUACACAAGAUCUAUAAAUUCUAAGUAAAAAAGGAGUUUAAAAGAGAAAAAAAAAAAAAAGAAACCCUUUCUCAUUAAUACCAUCCUAUCCAAAGGUUCUAACCUCAUUUCGAAACUUUAUAUUCUAUUCUCAAUUAAUCUAAAUAAACUUUUUCUCAAUUAUACAAAGAGCCGACUAGGUAGUGCGAACGCAUUUGUCAAAAGGAGUCUCUUUAGAAAUUGUUUAGCAAAACAAUUUAAAAAAAAAAAGUCUAAACACUUGAAAAGGAUGCCUUCAAUACAUGGUUUAAAUUUUCUUGCAAAGGGUUACCAUGAAAUUUUUAACAAGCACAUAACAAUUAUGUUUGGCUUUUUUUUUUUUGACAUUUAAUUUGGUUAGUAAUCAAAUAGGGUAACACAGGAUAUAUUGGACUUUUUGUACUUGGAUCACCAAUUGUUAUUACGAUAUACUUUUUAGAGAAGGUUUCUAUAACUCUUCAAACCUCAGGAGAGGUUGUUAUAAUUAUUAAAAACUUUAGGAGAAGUUUUUAGAAUUAUCUAAAAACUAACCAUGAAUACUAAUUUGUUCAAAUAAUACUACAUUAUUGUAGUACCAUUCGUUGCCUCUUUCUCCUUGGUCUUAUAUCGCCUUCCACACCUUGUUAGAUUAGACAUAUUUUUUCGGGACUAAAUUUAAUUAAUGUUUGCUCCUGUUAGAAUUUCUUAUAUUCAAGUCCCCUCGCUUAUUUUGGUACUUGAUAUCAGGGAGGUGGCUUUAGCCCUCGGCUUACGCCCUCUCUCUUGUACGAAAUUUGCAUACUUCAAUAAUUCAAUUAGUUGUUCCCGCGGAUGGUCCGACUAGUUUCGUAGUCUGGUAGUUACCAGUAGGUUCCGUGAUCAACCCUGUGUACUAUCUCACUGUAUAUUCUUGGGACAAGACUCUACACAAUCUUAGGACAUUAGUUUGGUCGAAAGGUUGAGAUAUCCUAAGUGAAAAAAAAAAAUUCAAUUAGUUGGUGUGGACCAAAUAGUUUACCACCACUGGUGGUUUUCUUAAGAAAAAUAGAAUACCAAGUAUGAAUUUCACCCGAAAAUUCUCUGAAUGCAACUGUGAUGAGAUACUUUGAUGCUGACAUAAUAUAAUCUGAAUAUACCGAAAGUGCACUAGAAAAAAAAAAAGAAAAAACCCACAAAUUUUGGAAAAAAAAACUUCCCACUGAAACAAUAAAAUUAUAUUUAAUAUUUUUGAUGUUAUAUCAAUAACUAAGAAAUUUUAUUCAUGUGCUAUCUGGCUCCAACAAAAUAUAUAGUUUUCUGUAAUAGCAGUAGAAAAUACACAUCUACAAGUAUUGAUGGACCCCACUCUCAUAAAACUAUUUUUAGGUUGCCCAUGAAUAUUCACAUUAGUGCAAAAUUUUGUGUACUUUUUUAGUAGGAAGAUCGAAUUAAAAGCGAAAGGUUUAAAGUCAAAUUAGCUUCAAUUUUGAUACGUUAACUCCAAAUUUUUUUAGACACUAGUUAAGGAAAUAAUUUUCAUUCUAAAUUCCUUUUCUUUCUUUUGUGUAAAGAAGUCGAAGAAAUUAAGAAACAGGAAAGGAAAAUGAAGCGGCUUGGUAACUAUAUUUAAAAAAAAAAUGAAGUGGCCCGGUGGGAAUUGCACCCUCAUUAUAGGACGGGAAACAAAUAUGAGGAUACCCAAUUCUCUUCAUUCCAAGGAUUUGUGUUGUCAAGUACUGGAAGAAAAGUAAGUUGUUCAAUCUUUUCAAAAAGAUAACUUUUGCGAACUGGAAUGACCUUCCGAUAUCAAUUCACCCUAUAUUACUCCAUUUAAGGGUUCAAUCCAAGCAGAGCAUGAAGUGUACAUAAUGCAAUAAAAUACAAUUUGCACUAAAGUUCGAGUACGUUUAAACAAAAUAGAUGAACUGGAUCGUAUCGUUACAAGCACAAGGAUUUUGAAAGCUACUUUAAUUAAUUAUCUAAAAGAUUAGGAUUUUAGUGAUGAAUAUUUCUGUAUUUGGCGAUAAGUCAGGAUGACAAUAUUGUAAAAAAGUUGUAAAAUUGAUUCACUAUCUUCAGUGACUUCAGCUAUUGUCAUCAACUCAUCACACAUUAGCACCACAAGUAUAAUAUUUGUGAAACAUUUGUUAUCCUUCCUUUUGUUAAAAAAAGACAGAUUACCUAAAAAAUAGAUUGUAAUUAAAUGCAUCUCAGCCUCCACCUACUUUUUUUUUUUUUUUUUUUUCAACCGAGAUCGGAUGGUAAUGCAUGCAUGAAAAUACAUCAUUCAUUUCAUCAUUAAAAUUCAUCAUUCAUUUCAUCAUUCAAAAAUGCAGAAUAGGUGCACCUAGUAUUUGGUUGGCAGCCCAUAUUUUAAUACUCCUGUACACAAAAAAAAAAUCCAUAUUUUAAUGUGCCAAGCUUGUUCAUUAGUCUUGAUUUUGACCCCCGGAGGCCCUGGAUUUUGUCUUCUUUCGUCGGCGGAUUCUGGACGAGGACAGUGCCCUUAGUAAUAGGAACUUAAAAAUUGAAUUACCUACUCCUCCCCUCCCCCUCUCUCUUCCUUGGGGCUGAGGGUUGGGGCUCAGAUAUACCUGAUGCAAGUAACUGAUGUUAUUGCACAAGAUAUGCGUAUCAAACCUUGUUUAUGUUGGAGGAAAAAUUCAUUAUAGAGUGAAUGAGAAAAUCGUUCUCAUAAUGGUACUCUUGAUAGAAUCCAAGGAUAAUUAUCUAUCAUUCAUGUACCUGAAGAUUCAUGUACCUAGGAUUCAUGUACUUAGAAAUUAAGUAUUAAUGCAUGAAUUUGGAGUUUUCUUAUCGAGAAUACAUGUAUGUACAUGAAUGUGGUACUUUGAUAAAUGUGAAGAUAAUUAAAUGGAAUUUAACAUUUGUUUCCAAUUUCUAUAAUCACCCUUAGUCAGCAUCUAUAAAUAACUCUCUUUUUGUUUUGUUUUGAGGUAGAGCUCUCUCUCCAUUUUUUUCUUAUUCUUUUGCAUCUUCAUCUUUUAUAGUGUUCCAUAUUACUCUAGUUUGAGUUCGCUGUGGUAAAGAAAUUUAGUGCUAACAUAUUCACCUUUAAUCCGUUGUAUCCUGGGAGACAGACACCUACUUAAUCUCGAGCACUCUACCUGUAGGGGGCGAAUUUGUUUUAAAAAAAUUGUGCUUACAAGACUCGGAUUGUUAUUUUUAUCUCCACCCAUUUCUUUCUUUUCAGUUUAUAUUUAUUCUUUCCUAUAUUGUACCAGCCUAAUUUUACUAACAGUUUUAAAACAGAUUCUAUUCUCUAUGGCUGACAAUACAGGAAGAGAAACCAACAAUUCUACUUCUGAUGCCUCUGCCUCUGGCACUAUUGUGAAACGACCUGAAGGAAUGAUUACUCCUAUGGGUUCUAUCAACCAUAGUGAGAAAUCUAAGAAGUUCCAUGGCUUGAACUUCAAGACAUGGCAACAAAAGAUGUUGUUCUAUUUGACAACAUUGAAUCUCUCGAGAUUCCUAAGUGAGGAUGCUCCAAAGCUGCCUGAGGGCUCAACUGAUGCACAAGCUGUCAGUGCUAUUGAUGCUUGGAAACACUCCGAUUUUUUUUGUCGAAAUUUUAUCAUGAACUGCUUGCAUGACUCGCUGUAUAACGUGUAUCAAGUACACAAGACGGCGAAGGCAUUGUGGGAAUCCUUGGAUAGAAAAUAUAAAAUCAAAGAUGCCGGGGCAAAGAAAUUUGUCGUCGGAAAAUUUCUAGAUUAUAAAAUGGUGGAUUCCAUGACUCUUAUCAGCCAGGUGCAAGAAAUUCAGAUUAUCUUGCAUGAGAUUCUAACUGAAGGCAUGAUUUUGAGUGAAACCUUUCAAGUAGUUGCUGUUAUUAAAAAGUUACCUCUUGGGUGGAAGGAUUUCAAGAACUAUCUCAAGCACAAGCGCAAAGAGAUGAGUAUGGAGGACCUUAUUGUUAGACUUCGAAUUGAAGAAGACAACAGGGGUUCCGAUUGCAAGGCAUUAAAUUCUUUUGAUGCUAAAACAAAUAUUGUGGAGUAUAAGCAAGAGCAAAAUUCCAAAGGCAAAAAGCCAAAUCAAAAUCUUGGGGCAAAAGGGAAAAUCUCUAAGCAGAAAUUCCAAGGGAAGUGCUUCAACUGUGACAAAAAAGGUCACAAGUCCACUGAAUGUAAGCUUCCAAAGAAGAAGAAGCAUGAAACGAACUUGCUUGAUGGAAUCGAGGGAGACAUGGAAAACAUGAACCUGACUGCUGUGGUUUCUGAAGUGAAUAUGAUGGGGUCAAAUCUGAAAGAAUGGUGGAUUGACACUGGAGCUAUAAGACAGGUUUGCACAAACAAAGACUUGUUCACUACCUUCGAAAAAAUUGAAGGUGAAAAAAUGUUCAUGGGGAACUCUGCCUCAUCUGCUAUUGAAGGUCAAAGUAAGGUGUUGCUAAAGAUGACUUCUGGCAAAACAUUGACUUUGAACGAUGUUCUGUAUGUGCCAGAAAUCCGCAAAAACCUUGUUUUUGGAUCAUUACUGAACAAGCAUGGCUUUCACAUGAUUUUUGAAUCCGAUAAAGUUAUAUUAUCCAAAUCUGGAAUGUAUGUAGGAAAAGGAUAUACAACUGAUGGGUUGUUCAAAUUGAAUGUAAUGACUAUUGUGAAUAAUAAGAAUAAGUUUUCUGCUUAUUUGCUUGAGUCUUCCAAUUUAUGGCAUGGUAGACUAGGUCAUGUUAAUUAUGAUACUUUGCGUAGACUAAUUAACUUGGAUCAUAUUCUUUCUUUUUAAAUCAAUUCAAACCAUAAAUACGAGAUUUGCGUAGAAGCAAAAUUAACAAGGUCAUCUUUUUAAACAAUUGAAAGAAACACCGAACCCCUUGAAUUGAUUCACACAGAUGCCUGUGAUUUGAAAUUUGUUCAAACAAGAGGUGGUAAUAAACAUUUUAUCACUUUCAUUGAUGAUUGCACAAAAUAUUGUUAUGUGUUUUUGCUCAAAAGUAAAGAUGAAGCCUUGAAAAAAUUCAUUUUCUACAAGAAUGAAGUUGAAAAUCAACUUAAUCAGAGAAUUAAAAGGUUAAGAAGUGAUAGAGGUGGUGAAUAUGAAACACCUAUUGGUGAUUAUUGUGCAAAAUAUAGAGUUAUUCAUGAAGUAACUGCACCUUACUCAUCACAAUCAAAUGGUGUUGCUGAACGGAAAAAUCGCACAUUAAAGGAAAUGAUAAAUGCGAUGUUACUAAGUUCAAAAUUACCUCAAAUAUAUGUAGGGUGAAACUGUUUUGUCAAUCAAUUACCUUUUAAAUAGGGUACCCCGAAAAAAAUAAGAUAAAACUCGUUAUGAAUUAUGGAAAGGUAGGAGACCAUCCUACAAAUACUUGAAAGUGUAGAGGUGUCUUGCAAAAGUGGCUAUUCCAACACCAAAGAGAAUAAAAAUAGGUCAUAGAACUGUAGACUGUAUCUUUAUAGGCUAUACACAUAAUAAUGCUGAUUAUCGGUUUCUUAUGUAUAAUUCAGAAAUUUUGGAUAUACACAAAAAUACGAUAAUAGAAUCAAGGAAUACUUCAUUCUUUGAAAAUGUAUUUCCUUGUAAAUCAAAUGGUGCAUCAAGUUCAUCAAAACGAACACAUGACGUCAUGAAUCAAGAAAAUCAUGAUCAUGACUUGAUUCAACAAGAUGAACCGAGACGUAGCAAAAGGGAUAGAGUGGAAAAAUCAUUUGGAGAUUAUUUUACAACUUUUCUAUUAGAAAAGGAACCAUAAACCUAUACAGAAGCUGUAAGUUCUUCUGAAAGAUUUUUGUGGAAAGAAGCAAUAAAAAGUGAGGUUGAUCUAUUUUACAGAAUCACACAUGGGAGUUAGUGAUCCUCCUGGUUGUAAACCUUUAUGAUCAAAAUGAAUCUUUAAAAGGAAAACGAAAUCUGAUGGCUCUAUCGAUAAGUAUAAAGCCACACUUGUAAUCAAAGGAUACAAACAACAAGAACAUUUGGAUUAUUUUGAUACUUAUUCUCCUGUUACGAGAAUAAAUUCUAUCAGAAUGAUUCUUGCUACCGCUGCAUUAAGAAAUCUAGAGAUACAUCAAAUGGAUAUAAAGACGACUUUCUUAAAUGGUAAUUUAGAUGAAGAAAUCUACAUGGAGCAACCUGAGGUUUUCAUAACUCCGAAAAAAGAAAGUAAAGUCUGUAAAUUGAUAAAAUCAUUGUAUGGACUAAAACAAGCGCCAAAGAAAUAGCAUGAAAAGUUCAACAAUGCUAUGAUAACUAAUGGAUACAAAAUAAAUGAGUGUGACAAAUGUGUCUACACUAAAGAAACAGAACAUGGCUAUGUCAUCUUAUGUCUUUAUGUAGAUGACAUACUUAUUGUUGGUAGUAAUAACAAAAUGGUCAAGUCUACCAAAGACAUGUUAAAUUCAAAAUUUAACAUGAAAGACAUGGGGCUUGCUGAUGUAAUUUUAGGAGUUAAAAUUACAAGAAUAUCAGACGGCUUGGUCUUGAGCCAAACUCAUUAUAUGAACAAGAUUCUAGAAAAAUUCAAUAAGAAUGAUUUUGGAAUUGCAAGAACUCCAUUAGAUAAUAGUUUCCAUCUAUCUAAGAAUAGAGGAGAGAGUAUUUCUCAAGUAAAAUACUCACGAAUCAUUGGAAGUCUAAUGUAUUUAAUGAGUUGCACUAGACCUGACAUUGCAUAUGCAGUGAGCAAAUUGAGCAGAUUUACAAGCAAUCUGAGUGCUGAUUAUUGGAAAGCAAUUUCAAGGGUACUUAAAUACCUACGUUACACUCGAAACUAUGAACUAUAUUACACUAGAUACCCUGCUGUUCUAGAAGGGUACGCUGAUGCAAAUUGGAUAUUUAAUAUAAAAGAUUCAAAAUCUAUAAGUGGAUAUGUGUUCACACUUGCCGGUGGGACAGUAUUCUGGAAGUCUUCUAAACAAACUAUUGUAGCUAGGUCUACAAUGGAAUCUGAAUUCAUUGCCUUGGAUAAAUGUGGAGAAGAAGCUGAAUGACUACACCAUUUCCUUGAAGACAUUCCAAAAUGAUAAAACUGUGCCACCAAUAUGUAUUCAUUGUGAUAGUCAAUCAGUAAUUGGAAGAGUACAGAAUCACAUAUAUAAUGGUAAGUCUAGACAUAUACGUCGUAGGCGGAAUACCAUUAAACAACUACUCUCAACAGGAGUUAUCUCUAUUGAUUAUGUGAAAUCAAAUGAUAACAUAGCGGAUCCGUUAACCAAAAGAUUGAACAGAGAGUUGGUUGCAAAAAUGGCAAAAGGAAUGGGACUAAAGCCCAUGGAAGGCUAAGUGUUAUAAAGGAAACCCAACUUAGCUGACUGGAAAUCCCAAUAUCUAGGUUCAAAGGGACAAUCUAAUUAUAAGGACUUAGCAUAGUCAUUGUAGGGGAAUAUCCCUAGACCCAUUCCAUAAUGAAACAAUGACGCAAAAGAGAAUUAAAGAUAGCACAAUAGUAUGCUUUAAUGAUUCUUAAGUGAAGUAAUUAAUUACUAGAGACUUAAGUAAAUCACCUAUGUGAGAGUGAAGUGGGGCCGCUUCAAAAGAGAAUUGUUUAGGCUCAAUUCCAAAAACUCUUGCUGAACCAGGUUGAUGUUCAUGGCCAAAACAAACAUAACUAUGAGAACUGAACAAAUGGAGCAUAAUUCCUGUGUGACAUAUAUGGUUCAUUUACACUGAAAAACGGGACAGUUCAAGGACAUCAUGUCUACUGGAUUGCUAAUAAAGUAAGUGUAUUUCACGAGAGAAGGUUCAAAAGGUAACACCAACCUAUCUUAUGCAGGUUUCAAUUGUGGAACACUACUGUCGAGUCAAAUUCAAAACAAUUUUUUCAUUCAUGUGGGGGAUUGUUGGAAAAAUAGAAAAAUCCAUUGUAGAGUGAAUGAGAAAAUCGUUCUCAUAAUGGCACUCUUGAUAGAAUCCAAGGAUAAUUAUCUAUCAUUCAUGUACCUGAAGAUUCAUAUACCUAAGAUUCAUGUACUUAGGAAUUAAGUAUUAAUACAUGAAUUUGGAGUUUUCUUAUCGAGAAUACAUGUAUGUACAUACUUUGAUAAAUAUGAAGAUAAUUAAAUGGAAUUUAACAUUUGUUUCCAAUUUCUACAAUCACCCUUGGCCAACAUCUAUAAAUAACUCUCUUUUUAUUUUGUUUUGAGAUAGAGCUCUCUCUCCAAUUUUUUCUUAUUCUUUUGCAUUUUCAUCUUUUAUAGUGUUCCAUAUUGCUCUAGUUCGAGUUCGCUGUGGUGAAAAAGUUUGGUGCUAACAUAUUCAUCUUUAAUUCGUUGUAUCUUGGGAGACAGACGUCUACUUAAUCUCGAACACUCUACCUGUAGGGGGCGAAUCUGUUUUAAAAAAAUUGUGCUUACAAGCCUCGGAUUGUUAUUUUCAUUUCCACUCAUUUCUUUCUUUUCAGUUUAUAUUUAUUCUUUCUUAUAUUGUACCAGCCUAAUUUUACUAACAGUUUAUUGGUAUGUAUUAGUUUUCUCGUUGAACCAACUCAAUCAGUCAAUUGUGAAUUUAACAAUCAUAUAAGAAAUGAUAGAGCUACACGUGCAGAUGAAAAUGGACUUAAAAGAGUAGCAACUCUCGGGUCUUAAAAAGCCAAGUUACGUAGAGUAUGAUGAAGUAAAUUAGACAUUAUACUACAUCUACAUAUCAUGAGUUAGACUUUGGAUAAGUUUCAUGUUGCUUUGUAGCAUAUGGUUUAGAACUUUACAAUUUAAACUUCUUGAUUUGGCUAAUCUUGUUUCACAUUCAACAUGUUGUGCUUUUACAAAGGCAAUUCUAAAAGGUGUCUUAAUGGUUGUAGUGGCUCAGACAGAUUUGAAUUAGGGAUAAGAGAUAGAAGGAGAAAGAAGGAGAAGUGAUCAGAAAGGGGGAAAAUGGGGAAAGAGAAGAAAGGGCAGAGAAGGAGGAAGACUGAGAUUGUAUUGAGAGGGAAAUUCUGAAUUACAAAUUUUGAUAACCUCCCUAGUAGACAGACGCAUUAUUUAUACAGAUUAGAGCCUUCAGCUCAAGAAAACAAUCUGCAAUUGUCUAACUAACUUUCCCGCCAAAUAACUAACUUCCUAAUUCUGUUGUAGUAAUGCUCAGCCACGUGAUCCUUCCCUUGUGCUCACAUUUCCUCUGCUCAUUCCUUUGCUGACUCCUCUUGGUAGCUUGUGCAUGAAGCUCGACUGAUACGGGCCAUAACAAUACCUCCCCCUAAAAAUAAUCCUAGUCUCUAGGAUUGAUUGAUUGUAAAAGCAGGGAAUUGGGCAUGAAUGAACGACAGGUCUUCCCAAGUGGCUUCCUCAGGUUCCAUGUUUUCCCAUUGCACCAACACCUGAUCUAUACCCUGACCCUUCCUAUAAAUUGUUCUCCUGUCCAAUACUACUGAAGGCAUUACCUCGAACUCACUAUCUGCAUUCAAGGUAGGCAAUGUAGUACUGACUGGAGCCUCCUUAGGUGACUUCUUGAGCAGUGAGACAUGAAAGACAGGAUGGAUGUUAGACCCUGCAGGUAGCUGCAACUUAUAGGCUACAGUGCCUACCUUCUGUUCCACCUGAUAGGGUCCAUAGUACUUGGCAGUUAGUUUUAAAUUCCUUCUCACGGCUACAGAAGUUUGUUUGUAAGGUUGGAGCUUCAGAUAAGCCCACUCGCCCACUUCAAAUUCCCUGUCACUCCUCCCCUUAUCAGCCAACUGUUUCAUUCUAUUCUGAGCCUUCAGCACGUUCUCCCUGAGCAAGGAAUUUCACCCCAAUCUUUCCUGUGCCCAAUCUUCCACUGCAGCCACUAACGUGGUAUCAGGCCUCAGAUUCAGCUGAAUAGGUUUGUAACCAUACAAGGCCUGAAAGGGUGGCAUUUGCAGACUGCUAUGAUAGUUGGUGUUGUACCACCAUUCAGCUGCAGGUAGCCAUUUCCUCCAUUUCCCUGGUUGAUCCAUGCACACGCUUCUCAGGUAACUCUCCACAUAUCUGUUAACCCUCUCAGUCUGUCCAUCAGAUUGAGGGUGGUAAGCAGAAGAAAAGUUGAGCUCUGUGCCCAGCACCUUAAAAAGUUCCUGCCAGAAUAGGCUAGUAAAUGCCCUGUCCCUGUCAGAGACAAUGUGGGUUGGUAAGCCAUGCAACCUGAAAAUUUGAUCAAAGAAGGCCUCUGCUACACUUUUAGCAGUGUAAUGAGAGGUCAUAGGAAUGAAGUGAGCAUAUUUAGUAAACCUAUCCACCACUACAUAGAUGACAUUGCAGCCAAAAGACUUAGGUAGCUCAUCUAUGAAGUCCAUAGAAAUUUGUUGCCAAGCUUGCUCAGGUAUAGCUAAUGGCUGCAGCAGUCUUGGAUAAGAGCAAUUUUCACUCUUACUCCUUUUACAAAUAUCACACCCCUGUACAUACUGUUCCACUUCCCUCUUCAUUCCGGGCCAAUACACAUAGCUCUUGAUCCUCUGAUAAGUACCAUGAUUUCCAGAGUGCCCCCCAAGGCAAGAAUCAUGGAAGCAGGAGAUCAAUUUUUGUCUUAACCCGGAGCCUGCCCCUAUCCAUAUCCUACCUUUAAACCUCAAAAUCCCCUGGUGAUAAGAGUAGUCAGGCAGUGCAUCAGCUCCCAUAGCCAACUUCAUCAGUGCUUCUUUAGCUAUUUCAUCCCCAAUGUAGCUCUCAGCCACCAUUGUCAACCAUUGAGGUUUAAUGGUAGUAAGAGAAUGCACAAAUGCUUCUGCUGGAUCUCCCUGCUCACCCCUCCUUGACAAUGCAUCUGCAACCACGUUGUCUUUACCCCUUUUGUACUGAAUCUCAUAAUCCAUUCCCAUCAGUUUAAUCAACCAUUUCUGCUGAAGGGAAGUGUUUAUUUUCUGGUCCAGCAAGUAUUUGAGGCUCUCAUGGUCAGUCUUUAUGAUGAAAUGGUUUCCCAUCAAGUAAUGUUUCCAUUUUUGAACUGCAGUGAUGAGUGAUAGCAGCUCCUUCUCAUAAGUGGAUCUGGUCUGAUUUUUCUGUCCCAACACUUGACUGUAGUAGGCUAUAGGUCUCCCCUGCUGCAUCAGAACUGCCCCAAUGGCUAACUGACUAGCAUCAGUUUCCAACAGAAAUGGCUUUGAAAAAUCAGGUAAAGCUAACACUGGUGUCCUGCUCAUGGCCAUUUUCAACUGCUGGAAUGCAGAUUCUGCAGCAGUACCCCAUGCAAACUGAUCCUUCUUCAGCAACUCAGUGAGACGUUUGGCCACCUCUCCGUACCCCUUAACAAACCUCCUGUAGUAACCUGUUAAGCCCAAGAAUCCUCUGAGGCCCUUCAAGCAGGUAGGGGUUGGCCAGGACAGCAUAGCUUCUACCUUAGAUGGAUCAGUUUUCACCCCUUCACUAGUAAUUAGAUGUCCCAGAUACUCCACUUGAUUCUGACCAAAUGAACAUUUUGACAUCUUUGCAUAUAGGAAGUGUCUUCUUAAGGUCUCUAGUACUAUGGAUAAGUGGUGUAAGUGAGUUUUGUGGUCUGGACUAUAGAUCAGAAUGUCAUCAAAGAACACAAGGACAAAUUUUCUGAUGUAAGGCUCAAAAACUGAGUUCAUUAGUGCCUGAAAGGUGGCGGGUGCAUUGGUGAGUCCAAAUGGCAUUACAAGGAACUCAUAUAGUCCAGAGUGAGUCCUGAAAGCAGUUUUGGGAAUGUCAUCAGAGUUCAUUCUGAUUUGGUGGUAGCCUGAUCUAAGGUCAAUUUUAGAAAAGACCCUGGCUCCAUGUAACUCAUCUAACAGGUCAUCUAUAAUGGGAAUUGGAAACUUAUCUUUUAUGGUAAGGUUGUUUAGCUGUCUAUAAUCAAUACAGAGCCUCCAACUCCCAUCUUUUUUUUUGACUAAUAGAGUAGGAGAUGCAAAGGGGCUGUGACUGAUUUGUAUAAGGCCAGAAGCUAACAUGUCUUUUACUUGCCUAUCAAUUUCAUGUUUUUGAAAAUGGGGGCACUUGUAUGGAGGAAUUUUGAAAGGUUUGACAUCUGAUUUAAGGGGAAUGUGGUGGUCAUGGCAUCUGUUAGGAGGGAGAGAUUUAGGUUCUGCAAAGACAUCAUCAUAUUUAGUCAACAAUUUAGUGAGAGAAUCUGGUACAGACAUUACCUGUGAAUUGUGAAUCUGCACCAUGCAAGACUGCUGUAGAGCCUUCCUGAUCUUAUGCUUGACAUACUUGUGAGCUGAUAAGCCUUGCUGCAUCCUAACGUUGGCAGUGUUGGAAUCUCCCCUUAGCACCACCUGCUCCCCUUCCUUUUCAAAAGACAGAUGCAAUUUCUUGAAGUCAAAAGUGAUAGGACUGUAGGAUUUCAUCCAGUCCACCCCCAAUAUCAAAUCAUAAGGUUCCAGAUCCAGGACAAACACAUCGUGUGUAAAUUUGUGGUCCUGCAUGUCCCACUGCAUCCUAGGAAUCCAGUGGUCACAUUGCAACUCCUUGCCAUCAGCUAUCUUGACCUUAAAAGGCCUAUGCCUCUGCACCAUUUCUGGGUACAUCUGAGCCACAGAUCUCUUGAUAAAGCAGUUAGUACUUUCUCCAUCUAGAAGGAUUGUCAGAUGAUGACCCUUAUACCGCCCCUGCAUUUUGAUGAUGCUAGAUGAUAAUUCUCCUGACAUUGCAUGCAAGGUUAGCAUCACAUCAUGCUCCUGUUGGUUCCCCACGUACUCAAUAACUUCCUCUUCUUCUGCUGUCUGAUCUACUGUCUGAUCUGUAUCACAUUUGUCCCCAUCAUCUACUAACAUCAUGUGGAUUCCCCUGCUUUUGCAAUUAUGCCCUGGACUGAAUUUUUCUCCACACCUAAAACACAGAUUAUGGUCCUUCCUGUAUUGAAACUCAGUAGGGGAGAUCCUUUUAAAAACCUGCUGUGGAUUGGAUUUCCUGCUGUAUUCUGGUGACCAAGUACCAGUCUGCCUUACUCCUGGAUCCUGCACCCCUUUGGUAGAACCAUAGGAAGUUGAUUGUGGGCCACUUUUGAGUGCAGUUCUAUUGGACUUGUGGAGGAGCUCUAAGUGGUGUUCCUGCCAUCUGGCCAUUUCAAAUGCAGCUUGUAGACUAAGUGGCCUAUGCAUCUUCACAGCCGAUUUGAUUUCACCCUUCAGUCCACUUAGAAAACUAGCUAUGUAGUAAGAUUCGGUCAAUUCAGGUACCUGGAGCAUUACAAUAGACCUCAACUCUUCAAACUUUUCCUGGUAAGCCAGAACUGUGGAGGAUUGACUAAGCUUGCUGAAUUCCUCUACAGCAUCUGCUUCCCCUACAUGGCUGAAUCUUCUACACACCUCCAAACCAAAAUCCUUCCAUUGAACCACCCCCUGUCUUUUUUGAAAUUUUGAUACCAGAGAUCUGCCUUGCCUUCUAGAUGCAAUUCCACCAAGUCCAUCUGCUGUUCUUCAGGAGUGUGAAACAGUUGGAAGAACUUCUCACACUUCCUGAUCCACUCCUUGGGACUAUGGCCUUCAAACCUGGGAAAAUCUAGCCUGGGAACCCCCACAGGCCAGUGCUGGCCAUCUCCUCUGGUUGGAUUGCCAAUCUCACAUUGUCGAACACCUUGAGCUCCAGUACUGCGAUGAUUAGGAGUCCUCUCUGCCGAGCCCGUAGGAUUUCCCAGAAUGCCCUUGUCUCCUUGCAAACUCCUCAAAAUGGAACUGAUUUGAGUACUCAAGAAGCUUUUCAGCUCUGAGUUAUCGGUUUCCAUUAGAGCUCGCAUCUCCCUUUGAUUACCUUCCAACCGUUCGUCCAUAGCCUGCUUGUCCGCAGCCAAGGAAUCAAUGACUGCUUGGAUCCUAGCCUCUUGUUUCCUGAGCUGCUCUUCAAAACUCUUCAUUCUAGUUCCUUCCGCCAUGAUUUUCAGCGGUUUGAAGCUUACAAUCCAAGAAUCGCAAGCUCUGAUACCACUGUAGUGGCUCAGACAGAUUUGAAUUAGGGAUAAGAGAUAGAAGGAGAAAGAAGGAGAAGUGAUCAGAAAGGGGGAAAAUGGGGAAAGAGAAGAAAGGGCAGAGAAGGAGGAAGACUGAGAUUGUAUUGAGAGGGAAAUUCUGAAUUACAAAUUUUGAUAACCUCCCUAGUAGACAGACGCAUUAUUUAUACAGAUUAGAGCCUUCAGCUCAAGAAAACAAUCUGCAAUUGUCUAACUAACUUUCCCGCCAAAUAACUAACUUCCUAAUUCUGUUGUAGUAAUGCUCAGCCACGUGAUCCUUCCCUUGUGCUCACAUUUCCUCUGCUCAUUCCUUUGCUGACUCCUCUUGGUAGCUUGUGCAUGAAGCUCGACUGAUACGGGCCAUAACAAUGGUGCUUGUUGGGUGAACUUUUAAGGCCAAAUUUCUCUUGCUAGGCAAAAAUAUUGGACUAUCCUAAACUUGUAUAUAUGGUCCUUCCUCCAAGAAAAAAAAAGAAAAAGAAAAUCUUGUAUGGUGCAAUGAUAAAUUUCAACUGUCCCUAGUAUAUCUACAUCUCGCUCUACCCAUAGUGGUAACCUGAAAUUUCUAUUUUAUCUCGACUCUAUGACUUUUUUUUUUCCCCAAAACGCUAGAAGUUUUUAUUUCUACUAAUAGAGAAAUUACACUAUUCGAGCAAAGGCUCAAGUUUUUCUUCACAAAAGUGUACUGAAACACUGAGAAUCGAAGAAUUCCUCAUCAAAAUGUAAAUGCAUUGCCUGCUGACUCAGUUUAUGACUGAGACAAUUAAUGCUAUCAUUAGCAGACUGAAACUCAAAUGAGCAUAUCGUAAACAUUAAGCUAAGAUCUGUUAUGUCUUGUAUGUGGGCUGCUAGUAGCAUGUUGCAUGAAACUUGACAGUUGAGAAGCUUGUAAACCUGAAGGCUUGGUGUUUGAAGUUUGAUACUGAAGCAGCCACGUUCCUUAAGCUUGCAAAGUGCCAACCGUAUAGCCACAAGGUUGUCCAGUACUGGUGAUCCGGUGCUUCUUUCUUUCAUUAGCCACACUGCACUUAGUUGAUGCAAUCUGUUUUUUGCCGUAAUGCCGAUUCCCAUGUUCAGACCCUCGAGAUGCUGUCCCACAUAUACACUAAUGGUCAGUGUGUUUGUAUCUUCGACCACCCUCUGCUCUUGUACAUCAGCUAUAUCUGUUUCUGAGAUGCUCACUUGCUGUUCAGUCUGUUGGGAUUUCAAAUAUUCCUUCCAUUCCAUAACUACCUUUGUAAUCACUUUCAUUGGAUGUCUUUCUUUGUCCUUGAACUCUACUGUAUUCCCGGCUUUCCAAAUUUGCCAAAGAAAGUCCACUGUCAAUACUAUAUGUUCCCUUCCUUCCUUUCUAUCUGUGACUUCCAUUAGCGUACUCCACCAUUUCUUGAAGUCGCUUGUAAAUUGCUGCAGACCAUCCCAUUGCAAUGAAGCCAUCUUCCAGAUCAUCCUUGCGGUCCUUGCACUGGAAGAAAAUGUGCUCCACUAUCUCACUGUUUUCACCAUAUUGCUUACACAUUAGGUCACCUUUUCCCAUUCUCCGAAAGAUUGCCUCUCGACCUGGUAGCACUUGAUGAAGGCACUUCCAUAAAAACAUCUUGUGUUUGUGCUUUUCUGGAAGACCCCAUAGUUGUUUCCAGAUUUUGUUAUUUCCCCCUGACCAGCUUGUUUCCCCCUUGCCAUUCAAUUGCACUAUAGGCUGCGUGGCAAAACUUGUAAGUGCUGCAUAUGCCGAGCUGACCGUGUAGUUUCCUUUUUUGCUAUGAGUCUAAAAGUAGCAAUCUGGUCGCCCUGUCAAGCUUAUAGGUGUUUUGAGUAUAUGAGCAGCUUCGUGUGAACUAAAGAGCCUGAAGAUGAGAGUUGAUUUCCGCCUAAAGUUGGCUAUCAAUUCACUAACUGUUGUGAUAUUGCAACCAGGGGGUUUUGUGGAUUCAAUCUUAGACCACCCUCUGCUCUUGUACAUCAGCUAUAUCUGUUUCUGAGAUGCUCACUUGCUGUUCAGUCUGUUGGGAUUUCAAAUAUUCCUUCCAUUCCAUAACUACCUUUGUAAUCACUUUCAUUGGAUGUCUUUCUUUGUCCUUGAACUCUACUGUAUUCCCGGCUUUCCAAAUUUGCCAAAGAAAGUCCACUGUCAAUACUAUAUGUUCCCUUCCUUCCUUUCUAUCUGUGACUUCCAUUAGCGUACUCCACCAUUUCUUGAAGUCGCUUGUAAAUUGCUGCAGACCAUCCCAUUGCAAUGAAGCCAUCUUCCAGAUCAUCCUUGCGGUCCUUGCACUGGAAGAAAAUGUGCUCCACUAUCUCACUGUUUUCACCAUAUUGCUUACACAUUAGGUCACCUUUUCCCAUUCUCCGAAAGAUUGCCUCUCGACCUGGUAGCACUUGAUGAAGGCACUUCCAUAAAAACAUCUUGUGUUUGUGCUUUUCUGGAAGACCCCAUAGUUGUUUCCAGAUUUUGUUAUUUCCCCCUGACCAGCUUGUUUCCCCCUUGCCAUUCAAUUGCACUAUAGGCUGCGUGGCAAAACUUGUAAGUGCUGCAUAUGCCGAGCUGACCGUGUAGUUUCCUUUUUUGCUAUGAGUCUAAAAGUAGCAAUCUGGUCGCCCUGUCAAGCUUAUAGGUGUUUUGAGUAUAUGAGCAGCUUCGUGUGAACUAAAGAGCCUGAAGAUGAGAGUUGAUUUCCGCCUAAAGUUGGCUAUCAAUUCACUAACUGUUGUGAUAUUGCAACCAGGGGGUUUUGUGGAUUCAAUCUUACCGCCCUUUCCUUCCAACAACCAAGCAUCUUCCUAAAUUCUGGUGUUGUUCCCAUUUCCAAUCUGUUUCCUAGCUCCGCAUUGCACCACCUCUCUUGCGGACAUCAAACUUUUCCAUAUCCAUGAUGCAUUACCUUUGAUUUCGCAGUUGAAGAGGGUUGUUUUGGGGUAGUACCUGGCUUUCAAAACUUAGCAAAAGAUUGGGGCAUAUGAGAAGCCUCCAAAUCUGUUUGCCUAGCAAAGCUUUGUUAAAGCUUUGAAGAUCUUUGAAGCCACGACCACCAGCUUGUUUUCCAGUUGACAAUGUCUUCCAUGAAACCCAAUGCAUUUUCGUUUGACCGUUCUCCUCCCCGUGGAUAUUAAGUCAAAUUCAUCAGUUCAUAAACAAUAUCUCGACUCUGUGAUAGCUAGGCAGAAUCCGAUGUUCUAUAGAACAAUGUGACUAGGAUUAAAAAAAGAAUAAAAUAAAAAUGAAGAAAUUUUUUUCUUUUUAAGAAUGUUUUACUUUGGAAGAAGAUAGGUACCUGUAAAUGUAAUUUAAGACAGUUGAAAUUUCUUCGAAUUUAUCAUGACCCAUUUGUUGAUUAAGAAGCAUCCGUCCUUUCUCUUCAUGCUUCUUGUCUCUUAUUGUUUUAACAGUGAUUUCUGUCUAAGGGGUUUUUUUAACCUAUUAAACUAAAUAAUCAUUUUGCCAUUUUCAAGUUUAUCCGUUACUUCACUUUUUUGAACUUUUAGGCAUCCUACGUUGCUUGCAGUCGUCCUAUUUAUGUAGAAUGUCUCACUCCUUUUGUGUAGGGAUAGAAAUGGGGUGGGUUUGGGGCGGGAAUCCCUCCCCCGUCCCACCUGCCAAAAAACUUCCCUCGCCCCUGCCCUUGUCGUUCUCCCCGCCCCGUCCCGUUUCCCCUGCGAGUGCUCGCGGUUGAUAAUUUGCUUUUUUUUUUUUUAAGAGUCUUUAUUCAAUAGAUCAAAUCUAAAUUCAAAGAAUAAACUAAUAUACGGAAUUAAAAAAAGUGAAAAAUGAAAAAUGAAACAAGAAAAGUGUUGAAAUAAAACACUAAGAAAAUUAAGAAACUCAAUUGAAUUGUAUAAAUAACAUUUGGGAAUACUCAUAGAACGCGUAAUAUGCUUGUACCAAAUAUCAACUAGGAAUUUGGAUAGAAAUGAGAUAAAAGUUAUGUUUAUUUAGCAAAUAUUUUAAGUUUAUUAUUAUUAGAUUAUAUGAUAUAUUACAUUUAUUUAUAUUAAUAAAUUGAAGCAGGAGAUGGGGCAGGAGUUGAUGCAGGGGUAUCGUCCCCCGCCCCAUUUAAAACAGGGGGAGAAAAAUUCCCCCCAGUGCCGCUCCAUCUCCCACCCCAUUACUCCCCCUGCGGGACGGGCAUCCUGUUGCUAUCCCUACUUUUGUGAACAACUUUGUAGAAAAUUUUAUCAAAUGUUUCAAUGGGUUGGCUGUGAGAGGUCUAAUGUGUUAAUUUUUUGUAAAAGUAAAUUUGGGAAUUAGAAUCUAAAUGCAUGAUGUAUAAUAAUUGUGAAUGCAUACAUUCACAUAGUAAAUUAAAUAUAAUAUAGUUGUAUUAACAAGUUUCCUUGAUAUCCGUUAAAAAAAAUCCUAUUUCAACCUAAGUUGAAAAAGAAGUAAUCUCUUUACCAAAUAAUGUCGUUGUCAACUGUGCAGCCUUCGUGCCAGCAAGGUAUUUUUAUUGAUUGACUACUUCCUUCAUCUCCUAGACAUGCAAAGGCCAAGUUAAAAUAACUGAUGCAAUUGUACGACUGUUUCACAACUAAUUGAAAAAACUUCACAUCAACAAAUCGACUUUAUGUAAAUUCGUUUGUUUUCCUUCCUUGAUUAGCUUUUUAAUUAUAAGCGGACCCCCUAAACCAUGUUAAUGUUUCUUUUCGUGAAGUAUUGUAAGUUUUGGAAAUUUGAUCAUUGGCUUACCGUCAAAAUCCCUUCAAUUUGUUUCAAAGUGUUGAUGUUAUGCUUAAACUACAAGAGACUUUGUCUUUGUUUACAGGGGGAAAAAAAAAUAACUAAGAAACUGGUCAAGAUUAUAGCCACACGACUUGAAUUUUGACUUUUACAUAGACAAGAAACCAAACCAUUACGGGCAAGUCAUCCGUAGCUAGGUUUUAUGGACUUGCAUGAUGGACGAUAAAAUAAUUUUUUUCUUUUCAAAAAUGUUCGGUACUGAAAGGUUUUCAGGAAUAAUGCCUGAACAUUAAUAUUUCCCUCUUCUGGUACUUGAACAAAAUAAAUAAAUAAUAUAAGAAUCCCUACUGGCACCCUGGCUCUGUGUAUUUCUUUUAACCUUUAUUGGAUCCCUAAUGGAGUAUGGUCUUAGUACUCUAAACAUAGGGAAAUAUAGAUUUCUUCUUGAUCAAUUUGACUGUUUUUUCGAAAGCAUAAACAUAAUGUAUACUUCAUAUUGCAACUAUAUAUGACUAAAGACACUUGAGCUAUUGGCUUAAAUAAAGGUCAAAUUACUGGGCAUUACUAUAUAUAUACGUGCAGAUUUUGAGAUUUAAGCCUGAAAUAUUUGUAUUGCAUCGCACAUAAUUAAUUGCACUAAACAAACUACAAGGAAGAGAAUGACAACAGAGAGAGCACAGAAAGCAGAUAAAGAAAGCAGGUAGUUAUCUGAAAGUGAAAGAUGGAUCACAUGUCGGUCUCCAAUUUACCAAAACCUAAUAUAAUAUUAAAAAUUUUGAUACUAUCAGAUCACAAUUUUACUUGUUAGCUCCUAGAUUUUUAUCAAUUUGCAAAAAGUAAAGUAGGCAUUUUAAUCUUGCCAAAACUAAGUGAAAUUUAAAAAAAAAAAUGUUGAGAUUGGAAGUAGGAGAAAGUGAAGUAGCUAAUUAUACAUAAGAGGAAGGCUAAUUACGUUUUGUUUAUUCUAAAUAGGCAUACAUGGGAUUAACUAUGGAAUAAAAAAUUACGAAAAGGGGAAAUGAAGGCAAGGAUUUUGAGUUUCUCAUUAAUGACUACUAGCGGCACUUUCAGAUGAGGAACUGAGAAGUUCCUCCAAAAGGUCAGCUCCCAAGUCCUGAAGCUCCACAACAACUUUUUCUCCUUGUUUUUCUUGAUUUCUUCUUGCUCUUUUUGACAUGCUACUCCUGAUUUUGUGGGUUGCCUUCAGAACCGCAGCUGGUGAGCUGCCAUUCUCCCAGUUAUGCUUAAUACCUUCAAGUGAUUUCUGGACUCGAUCCAUUGGAAAGUUGAGGCUAGCCAGGGGACCCCUCAUCGAGAAAGCUGCUUGAUCAUAAGCCAAAGCUGCAUCUUCUGGGCUCUCAAAUGUUCCUAGCCAAACUCUCCUUCCAUUCCUUGUUGAAUCCCUGAUUUCCGCUGCAUAUUUUCCCCAUGGACGCUUUCUUACUCCUAUGUACUGCUUUUCUUGCCUCUUGGAAUCUCUUUUCAAAUUUAAUGAUUGUAUAGCUUCAGUGGUCUCAAGUUCUUGUUUAGGAACCUUAUUGUUGUCAAGAAACCAGAAUGAGAAUUCAGAGGAGAAGUUCUGAUCAGGAGUUGGAUUCUCAUAGGAUGAAGAAUCCAUCUCUAGCUAAAAUUGAAGGGUUUGUGGUCAGUUCUCUUGCAUAAAAGUUGGGCUUUAAAAAGCCCUGGCUUUUUUUUUGGGGGGGGGGGGGGGGAGGGGGUUGUAUUUGACCUUUUUUAAAAAAAAAAAAAAUCGGUGCAGUAUUUCUUUAUGACAAGAAAAGGGUUGAGGAAUCUGAGGUUCGAAUUGGAUGGAUCAAGUCAAGAGUCCGUGGUGGAAAGUUUCCAAGGAGAAAAUGUCAUAUAAUUUAUAUUCGCAGAAACUUAUGUUAUAUUUAAGGAGGUGAAGUUAGGGGGUCGCCGUCGGAUAGUUCCUCAAUGUUAAUGUAAGAUUCUAAAUUAAGCCCACGAGCAAACAGAACUAAGAAAUGUAGAAACAGGAGAUUUUGGAAAUCUUACGUAGCCCAUAGGCUGCAAGUCAUUGGAGUAUAUCUGUAGCACGAGCUGGCUGAUGGGUUGCCAAAGAUCGAGUCCCAAAUGUGUAGCACGAGCUUUGACCAAUAUGCCGAUAUUGCCUAAAGAGUAGCCUAAUUGGUGUCAUCAAGAGAUCAAUGAUUAUAGACUCGAGGGAGCGUUGGCUUGAGUGAUUGAGAGAGAGAGUGUGUGUGUGUGUGUGUAAGCGAGAGAUUUUUCAGAUUUCUACUCUUUCACUUGCACUAAAGAAAAAAAUAAUUAUCGACUAUUCCACUUUUUAUCCAGCUAUGGAUGACCAAAGCAUGAAGGUAAUUAAGCUGUUUGGUUCCUAGCCGCCUAAAGGCUUCGUGAUUGGAAAAUUUCCAAGUGCACAAGUUCCAUUAGCAUUGAAAUCAAAGAAAAUUUCGCUAUACUUUAUUUGAUUUGGCUAAUGAUCCCUUGUGGAUACGUACUUGUUAGGAGGGGUUUUAGGUGUUAGUUUUUUUUUUUUAAAGUAUAAUUAGUUUGGAAAAGUGUCUAAAUAAAUAAGAAUAAUCGCGUGUGUUCACAUGUUAAGUUAUGUACAAUAUAAAGUGUGUUAACCACUGCAUACUAGAUACCUAUUAGAAAAACAAAUCCUACUUUAUUUUCGUCAUGAAUAACCACAUAGUUUGCAAUGUACAUGGAAGCAGGGAGAUAACAAGUGAUGCAAAUUCUACAUGAUUUUUUCCUUAUCCAGUGUCAGCUCCAAUUACCAGGAAUGCCAUGAGUAGAAAUUUUUCAAGAAAAUAAUCUUUGGAUAUUUGCGGUUGCAUAAAACUAGAGCAACAAACCAAAAAAAAAAAAAAAAAGAAAGAAAAAUUUAUAAUGCAGCAACUUUUGCAAGAUUAGACCCCAUGUCACUGUCACGCCUAUAAUCAAGUGUUUGCCUAGUUGUAAUGGUAAAUGGUUUAUGUGCUGGGAACAUUAUUAUGGAAAUAUAGUCUUCUUGUAGGGUACCGGAAUGAUUGGAAUUGCCAAAAAGAAGACUGGUUUAAUGAGGAUCAGGAAAGAGAGAACAGAAGUAGAUAGUUUAGAAUGUUCAUGUCAUUGCAAAUUUGUAUAAUUCUAAACACUUGCCUAUUUGCUAGUAAAUUCACGAACAUUCUCUGAACUAUUUAUUUUUGUUCUCUCUUUUCAAUAUGUCCUACCAUGAUUCAUCAAAAUCCACCCGAUCCAGUGGAUAAAUUCACUCAUCUAAUAAGGAAUACUAAUAUUUGUUUAAUCCAAAAUACUUGCUUCUUUGUUAAGGCUUGCAUUUACCUGGCCAUCCUUUAAGGGUCAAUUAGAAGGAGAAUUUCACUAAUUCAUAAACCUUGAAAAUAUAAAAGGACAAGAUUGAUUAAAUUCAAUGGUCACUAAAAUAAAACAUUGGAAUUAACUUUAGAAUGUUCAAAACGUAAAUUUUUUUUUUGGUAGGCGUAGUGUUUCAUUCUGUACAAACCCCACAAUCCCCUCGUAUUGCACUUUCUUGGAAUUAGAAGUACUCUUUGAAGUUUAGCCCUAUGGUUCUACAUCCUCCCUUUGGCUUCUUCCCUCCGCGGUAAGUCCUGCGGACGCCUCCUUUUUUCUUUAUUUAUUUUUUGUUUUAGUAAAACUACAAUGUGAAGCCGAAAAUAUAAAAUGAAGCAAUUUUAGAAUUGCGUAGUAUCUUGGUUAGCCUAAAUAAAAAUGCAAUGCCAUUUAGUAGGAGCCAGUGAAAUCUUGAUCUAGUAGUCAAGAUUAAAAUAAGCAUCAGUAUGUGAGCUUCUUCUCUCACUAUUUGUGGACUUAUUUUUAAUAUUAUUGAGUUGUAAUUUUCACUAUUUAUGAAUUAAUUUGUUGAUUGUAUUAUAUAUUUGAAUCAUUGCGCGUUCUUUGUAAUCUUAUUAAAAAUACAUCUAUGAUUAGUAGGAAAAAAUCAAGUUGAUGAGGCAUUAGAUUAGUGGUUACGGUUCAAAACCCAAUAAUUAGAGGUCUUGAAUUGCCCCUUUCCAUUUUUAAACCCCACUUCUCUGCCACUAAAAAAAUAAUAAUAACUAUAAUUAUAAUAAAAUAGCCAGGACAAAAAAAAAAAAAAAAGAAUUCCUACGGUUUCCGUUAUUGCUUAAUGGGUAAAAAACAAAAAAAACCCCUUGAUAAAUCUAAUACACAAAAAAGCCCCUACGUGGCAAAAUAUACAACACGAUACCCUAUACUUUGAAUUAAAUUGUAAAGGUGACAGAAUUCGUUAAACUUAACGGAAAUGGACGAAAUGACCAAAAUAUCCUGAUAUAAUUAAGCAAAAGACAGCUCAAAAAAAUCAUUUGUUUUAUUCUCUAGAUAGAGAGAAUUGAGGGUAAAGGGGUAGAACAAGUAUAUCUGUUAAAAAUUAGGUAUAAAAUUUUUUUUUCAGGUUCCAAUAAGUCAUUUUCGUUAAGUUUAACGGAUUCUGUUACCUUUACAAUUUAAUUCAAAGUACAGGGAAUCGUAUUGUAUAUUUUGAAAUUACGAGAGACUUUUCUGUAUAUUAAAUUUAACACGGGAGGUUUUUUUUUUUUUUUUUUUGUAUUUUACCCUUGCUUGAUAAAGACAUGUACAGGCAAGUAGUUGUUUAAUAGAAUAAUGAUUGAUGCGGUUUCUUUUCUGUCUGAAAAAUAUAGUAUUUAUAUGAAUCAUUCAUUGUUUGUUGGAUGGUGAGAAUACUCAACGGCCUUGCCUAAUUUGACCGGGGGCCUACCGUCCGUGAUUGAUUCGUUGGCCGCUGCGUUACUUAGAAUCAAAAAAUCGUUUCUCCAUUAUUAGUCAUCUUCGCAGUGUUGUCGCCUGGCAAACGUCCACGGCCACCGGAAAGGACCAAUUGGGCGGCGGUCCUCUUUCCGUUUUCUUUCUUUUCAGUUUUUCCUGUUAUGUAGUAUAUGGUUUGGAAACGUCUACUCCAAAAACGUUGAAUAUUCAAUAUUGUAUCAGCAUUAUGCAAUGCAUCUUAUUUGUUAAUGCCACACUCAAAAAGGAGAACAAGGAUUUCUCGUUUUUCAUUGCAAUCGGACCGAAUAACUACGUAUCCAUUGCAGCAACAAUCAUACCAUAAAGUCUCUCUCGCAGCUUUCUGAAAAAGAAAUUUAAUUACAAAUGUCAAAGAGGUGCAUUUUCUAGUUUCUUUUAUACCACUUAAGUAGCAAACAAUUUUCUUUUUCUCUUUAGCUAGUGUGAGAGGAAUGGGUAGAAAAUGGACAAGAAAGGGGAAGACCUUUUCUUUUCUUUGAGAGUUUUAAGCAAAAUGAUAAUAACAACAACAAUAAUAAUAAUGGAAAUUAGUGGAGAACAAAAUGAAAUGAUAGAAUGAUAGCAAAAACAUUUCUUUUUCUUUGGCUAUAUGAUUGUUUCAUGAAGAACCCGAUUGGCUCUGAUUUGGCAAUAUUAUAGGUGAUCGGACCUUAAGGCCUUCAAUUUGGGCCCUUUAGUCUUUUGGUCCGCACAUAAUUUUUGGACUUUCCCGUAAAAUGUUAAGGUUAUUUGACUUAAGUCUCUAUUAAUGACGGCUAAUUAAAACACUGCAUGUAUUUGGAUGACUAAAUUUUUUCGAAUUCUCCCGUCAUGUCUGCAGCUAUUUGUCCUUGAUUACGAUUUUCUUGAAAUAUUGACAUCUUCUGAAGUUGAGCAAGUGAUUCACCGCCACCAUCUUAAAAUUUGACUAAUUGUGUGAAAGAGAUCCACCAGACCUUCGAUUAAGGUUUAAAAAAGAAAGUAUUUGAUCCUUUUUAUGUUUUGCAUGCAUGACCCAAUUUGUUUAAACUAACCCAACAACAAAGCCUCAAAGGAUAGAUUAAAGGGCUGGGGAGCGGGGAUAGAGGCUGAUAGAUGUGCGCCGUGCGUGGAGAUCGAGGAGAUGUUGAAUCCCUAUCAAUUUUUUGAUUGUGAAGUUUUCUUGUAUAGCGUGGCAGAAAGUUCAGAGCUUAAUUAUGCUUCGAUUUUUAGGGAGACAGCCGUAACUAAACUAUAGCGAAUUGGCUUAUAUGGUUAUAGGUAGGGUUUUUGGACUACCUCAUCAUUGUUUUGGCUGAUACAUAUACUCUAUUUUGUAUUUGUCAGAGUGUAGUUUUCUGGUUUAUUUGCUGAGUUUCUGGAUGAUCCCUUGCACGAGCUUUGUUGAUGAUCCAAUCCAUAAAAGUUGAGCUUUGCCCAAGGGGAAAGACCCAGCCAAAAAAAAAAAAAAGAAAAACUCAGUAAAUGCUCAAAUUAGGCAGUUUUCAUUCAAAUUAAGUGCAGAAAGAUCAAUUAACUAACAGUGCACACCUAUAAAACUACUCUAAUUCCUACUCUAUCACCUGCAAAAUUGAAAUUGUGUCUCUGUUGCCAUUUUGCACAAUUUACCUAUCAUUAGGCGUGCAUUUCUGGGGGUGCACUAUGGAUUAGAGUUUUUUUUUUUUUUUUUGAAAAAAAAAGGAAAGAAAAGGGAAAACUAGUUCUUUUCUGAAAAAUGAAAAUUUAUAGUUAUGUUGGAAUUUAAAUAUAGUUGGAUUAAAUUAAAAAAUUUGGUUCAAUUUAUGUAUGUCUGGUUGCGAAUGGAGUUUUAAGUAACUAAUCAUAAUUAAAAAGGAGAUCAUGUUGAAGGUUGAUUACGUAAUACUCCUUAGUCCCGACUCGCUUUAAAUUUAUCAUCAGCAUUAAAAAGUUGAAAAAGAAUCACAUCUACCAUCACCAAUAGCAUUAAGUGGGAUUAAGGUGCAAAAGCUCGUCAAACACUACUAUAAAAACCAGGAAGAAAAACCGGAGCCAAUUACAGAAGAAAGAAACAAGACUAAAUGAACAUGAAUUGGCCUUGUACCAUAUGUGCGCAUGUGAGUGUACAUAUGAUAUGUCGAUAUAAAUGUGGAUAUAUUAUGAUGAAAAGAAUUCAGUCAUUUAACAAUAAAUUUAUUACCUAUGUUAAUUGGUAAAUAAUUAAUGACCCAUACCCUGUUAAAAAAUUCACCCGAAGUCACACUCAUCUUAUGAAUUUUUAAUUUCUCUAUUCCCAUUUUCUAAAUUUUUCCAAGUUUGAAAAGUUAUUAGCAGGGUUUGUUUUGUUUUUUCUCAUGAAGUACACUGGUUUUGGUCUCGAUGAAGUACGUUAUUGGUUGAUGAGGUGCAUAAGGGGUGCAAAAUUUUCCUUCAAAGAGGUACAUUUCAUUUCUAAUAGGAUCUUUUGUGCUAGAAAAGUAAACUAAACAGUUUUGUCAAUUUGGACUCUAAGAAAAGUAGAAAACAUGCUACCGCCCCGCUCUACAAGACACUUUUGUAGUGGUCUGAGAUUCAGCUGACAUAAACCAAAGUUUCAAUGACCACAACUCUUCCUGGAUUACUGAGUAGAGCUGAGGGAGCGAACAACAGUUGAAAAUAUUAUACUUAAAAAGAAAAAAAGAAAAGAGGCGGCUGCUGCUGCGGCGACUGAGGUGGGGAAUUGCUGCUCCGACGUGGCGGCGGACUGUCGGCGGUCGGCGGCAUUGCUUCAUUUUAAGCUAAUUCUUCCAACGCUCCGAACGAUGCGAUAGAUGCUUUUCUCAACUCUCGCGGCUGCAAAUGCCUUUACUCUCAGAUCGAGGCUUCCUUUUAACUUAAUCCAGAGUAAAAUCAAUAAAUGCACGCGUUUUUUUCCCCCUCGCGUUCUUUUAUGUAUCUGCAUGUGAAAUGAGCUGAUAAGAGGAAUGAGCAAUGGAGAUGCUUCAAAGUACAAUUCAAUUGAUAGUCGUGAUUAGUGUAAUUUAUUUUAAUACAUUUUUUUUUCGGUUGAAGAGUUAAGAUGAGAAUAUGUGAUAUUUUAGUAAAUUUCUGGAGUUUAGGCGUUGCUUGCUUGCUUAGGCAUUGAGAGAUAAAUUCAGGGAAGCGAAAAGAUGUUGCUUGACAUGAAAUGUCAUCAAAUUGAGGUGAAAGAUUACCAUAUUUGGAUCAUACGCAAAAAUGAAGCAUCUUUCAAAAAGUUUCAGUUUUGAAUUGAUUUUUGCUAUGUAUAUUCUACUGUAUUUGGAAUAUCUAAUAGUGAUAGAAAACAAAUUAAUGGUAGUCUGGAUGCGAAUGCUUCACUGUAUUGUAGAACAAUAUUAUGAUUCAUGCUUCGAAAACUAAAUGCAAAAUGCUACAGAUUAGAAUACAAUGCAGUAAAUGAAAAGCCUUGUUAGUUGCAAUCUUAUUGAACUUCACUUCUUGAUCCAAAACCAUAGGCCUCAACAGAUGAUAACUAUUAUCACCUGAAGCAUGGUUUUUAUGCUAUAAUCCUUCCCUUUCUUGAGUCCAUCAUGUGAGAUGAUUGAGUCUUCAGUCAUUAACAAGGUAAUUCCUAAGGUCUGUUGUACAUAGACAUCACACCAAACAGAAUGGAUGGGUAUCUAGCUCUCCCCUAAUUCUCUUGUGGUUCAGUUUUCUGUGGUACUUUGCAAGUUGGUCAAAUUAGGUCAGGUAGAGUAUUGGCUUCAUGCUCUAUCUAUUGUAUAAAGCAAGUUUCCCCAUUUUUCGGAGAGCAGCAAACUUGUACGAACUUAUGUGUUUGAAUUCAUUUCAGUCAAUGUGGUUGAACGCAAAAACCUCUUGCUGCUAAAAAAGACUAACUUUUUGUUCAAUGUGAGCCAUGUUGUUGCUAUACCAUCGAGUAGUAGUUCCACUAGUUGAAUCCCAAUUAAACUUUUUGUAUGGAAGCAAACUUGGGAAGGGUUUCUUGAAUUCUUUAUCUUUCUUGCUAAUUCUGCAUAUUAUUAGUCUUUUCAUUUAACAAACUUACUGGUAAAUUAGAGCUCAGCAGUCUUUGUAAACACCGACAAUCAGUAUUCUAUUCUAGUCAUACUUUCAGCUUUAAUAUGAUAAAGGUAUCUAACACUAAGUUCUUGUUUGCAAAUUUGUGUAGUUGUCUCUCUCUGCUACGAACAUGCGUGAUCAGGACGCGUGUGCUAUCCAUGGUUUGUUCAUCAUUUCCUGAUGUUUCAUGAUUAUCAACGAAUUUAUGUUAGGUCUUCUAAACAAAAAAUGGCGAUAUGCAUUUGCUUAAUAUUUCUCAAUGUCUCAGAGGUUUAGGAGCUCCAUUUUAUAGCUUCACAAUUUUUGAAAUCAUUUGUAAACGUUUCUUCAAGGUGAAGAGCAAAAAUGAAAGCGUAUAGCACUAAAAAUUAUUUAAAAAUUAUCUAUGAUAUCCAAUGCAGUGGAGCUUGUACUCUCUUGUAGAUCUUACGAAGUGAUUAUAGGAUGAGCAAGGGGAGGUUGGCUAUGCUAUCUUACGUAGAAUACUCCUUUUAAUUGAUCACUUUCAUAAUGAGCUCUUUGUAGCCUCUAGUGCAGUAUCUGCAGACAGAAGCAGACGUAUGUAAAUUUAAUAUGGAACAUUCAUGCUUCCUGGCCUAAAAAGUUUUGUAGAUAUAAUCUGUUAUAUGACACUUUAAGAUACUUGAGGACGUUCAACUAUUUAAUCAAAUCAGACAGGAACUUUCCAGCUUCCAUUUGGAUGCUGUAUUUUCUUUGUGGUGUCUCAGGAUAAAGGAACAAUUGUCUGUCUAAUAAUGACUUGGUAAUUGAAAUUGCGAUUGAGUUUGUCUAAACAGAAAACUGAGGCAUAUCAAUAAGCAUAAGGGAAGUGGAUAUAGUGUGGUCUGUAUUGACAUCUAAACGUUGGAGAAGCUCAACUCUCUCUCUCUCUCACGAUUAGAUUUUUGACAAGCACAGUUGUCGAGAAGAUUGUCAAAUAUCUGAAGCUUCCUGUAUUCUUGUGUUUUGGUAUUCUUGUUCUGCCAUGCAGUUUAUAUCAGGAAACUAUAUAAAUCGCUAGAUCAGGCAAUCUGCCAUUUAGGAUUGUUGACACCAAACUAGCAUGAUAUUCCUGUACACUUUAUUCAAAUUAAAUGUACCGCAUGUAAUGUUUACCUUCCCUGUAGUUACUGGAGUAGAUGCAUUUGCUAGCUUUCUGUCCUUGUUUAAGUUGUCAGUAGCAGAAUUGGAAACUGAAAGAUGCAAGACUGCACUUAAACCCCUUUCAAUUGCACCUUGCACCCUUCUCCACCCAUCGACUAAUAUGAUCUCGAUUCUCGAUGAGAAGUUUAAUCUGCAUUUAUCUAUGGUAUGUUUGUAUUUAUAAUGGAUAUAAUAAGGAAAUAACUGAUGCUUGUCCACCUGGUUUGGUCUUGUUUUACUUGGCCAGUUUGGAUGAUUGACAAGCAUGGCCAACUCUCGUUUGUGAAAAGUCGCUUAAGUUGCUUAUUAACUUAAAUUGUUCGAGCUAUCUAAUAUGACGAAUAGUACUUCUCAAUGAUUCUUAUGAUUUACACUCAACAAUAGCGUCAAAUUACGUUUUAUCACAAUUUUAGGGACAAUCUCAAACCCCACAGUCUUCUGCUGUCAACUUCCUCUCUCUGGUCUGCUAUUCUCCAUAUACCACUGAAAUAAAUCCUUUAUACACAAUCACAGUUACUAGAUUCAGGAUUACCACUGUUUGUCUUUGGUUAGCACUUACAGACCUUGUUUUUUCCAGAGUGAUCCUAUGGCUGUUAUUUUUAUGCCGGAAAGAAAGAUAGUUCGCUUUGAGAGUUUGGUCGUGCUGAAGUUCUUUUGAAGUCUCCUGAGUUACAAGUGGAUUAAAAAGUUCAGUAUUGCCUACCAGUUUGAGAUAGUGCAGGAUUUAGGGUGAGUAUGGCUCCUUGAAAUCAUGGAUUUGUGUCAUGCAAGUACAAUUUUCGCUACUACAUGUACUUUGAUGGUAAUCUUCAUUGCAGGUUUCACGCGUAUGAUGUCAAUACCCAGUUUCGCGACAUAGAUGUAAAGGUAUGUCACGCUGCUCCUAUAAAAUGUUCUUCCGAGAAUUGAAUCCUUAGAGGAUUGAUUAUCUGUUUUAUGGGAUGGUGUCCAGUUGUUGAGGACUUGUUGAUUUCAUGUUAGCAUACCCAUUAUGAACAGUUUGUUUUGCAAAUAUAACAAAGAACAAUAAUUUAAGUUGAGGUACGACAACUAAUUAAUUUGCUUCUCGAUUGGUAAAUUUACCUGAAGCAUCUAGGUUGUUGAGAGAAUGCUAGAUCUUUGACCCUUGUAGAACAUGAGACUGUAAAGCUUGUAAUUACCAAAAAAAGAAAAAGGUUAUUUAUGAGGUCGACAAAAGUCAAGUUAUCUAUUUUUAUUGACUGCAUUAUAAAAAAAAAAUAAAAUGCCAGUCAUUCUCUCCUUCUUCUAAUAAACAAAAGAUUAAAAAAAAAAUGCUAUCUAUAAAACUCAUAGUUAUUAAACCCAACCCGGGAGGGAACCCGGUGAACGAGGUGGGUCAACGGGUUACUGGUUCAACCAGUGGGUGGGUGGUUGAACCGGUGGGUCACUAAAUAUAUUUAAAUAUUAUAUUUUAUAAUUUUAAAUAUAAGAUAUAUGAUAUAAAUUAUAAUAAAUAAUGUCAUAGCAAAUGCUCAUAUAAUUUAAUUUGCUAUAAAAAAUUAAUUCAUAUAAGAAUCAAUAAAAUAUAAAGUUAUUUAGUAAUACACCAAACUUCAAGUAUAAAAUUUUAUCUAUGUUUAGUGUAAUUAUCUAACUUAUUUAUAAAUUUUAAGUGCAAAAAAUUAUUAAAAAUAAUAUAUGUUUUUAAAAUGAAUUAUGUAACAUGUUAAUUUUUAAGUCCAUUUCAUAAGUUUGGGGGUCAUAAAUUAUUAUUAAAAGAUUCCAAAUUAAUUUGUUUUAGAGAAAUAAAACAGAAAGAUAAAAUUGAUAAAAUGUUUAUAUAUAAUAUGUAAGCAACCUUAUCACCAUCUCGCGAGGUAGCCUAGCGGUUUCGUCGAUGUUGCUUUGUAUCAGACGCACAGGUUUCGACUCUCAGUCUCAGCACUGUCAUAACAUUUUUAUAUGAAACCCGGUUCUUAGACACAACCGGCCGGGUUUCCGGUUUAAUCCGGUCGAACCGGCGGUCCGUUGACUAAUCAACGGGUUGAUUACUUAAACGAUCCAAUUGAAAAUCCAGCCCGGUCCCAUGUCCAGUUCACCGGUUUGACCGGUUCGACCGCCAGACCGAGCCGAGUUUAAUAACUAUGAUAAAACUUCAACAUGAACGUUGAAAAGAAGAGAUAUCUAUAAUAUCCUAUGUGCAGAAAUUAAAGGUGCUGUUUCUUUUCCGUCUGGCAUGAUUGCCAACUCAUUGGCACCGCCAUCCAUCACCGCAGAUGAUAAAAAUUCGAGUUCGUUAGUUGGCAAGCUGCCAAUUCUUUCUUGAAUUGCUCCACCCGUUGCUGUUGGUUGGAACUUGUCCUUAUUGCGGGCCCGGCAUGCCACAAAAUUUUGUACCUAGAAGCAAGACAAACUAAUUAACUCAAAGAAUUAAUCUUUCCUACCUGACUGAUAGAAGAUAGCACUGGAUGAAUGAUAACUAUGUAAAAUUUGAAUUUAAAAUUCAAUUUUUACAUAUAUAUCAUGAAUUCAACGAUGAUAGUAUAUACACUGUUAGUGUAUAUAAAAUUUAUUCCUUGAGCAUAUUAUUCUCACUUAAGAAACCAAAAAAUAAACUUUAUUCUGAGUUAAUGGCAAUAAUUACCUUGGCUUGGGUAGUCUCAUCAACUUUUCCAUCUAAUUGGUCAGGAUUCAAUCGAUAUUCGUACAUGGUCCAAUUACUUUUGGUUCCAUUGGGCGAGUGUCCCCAAUAAAAAUCCACGACCUGUUUGAAGCCAAUAAUUCUAUUAUCAAGACCAAUUUCAGCCGGCAAGCCUGCGGGACUCCAAUAACCAUCUGUGGUGGGAAGGUCACCGGCUAAACGAUGGGUGAAGAAAAACCAUUCACCGGCCACUCCAUAUUUGAAUUUAUCUGCAUGACAGCUCGCAAUUCACAAACAAAAUCAAUACCAUAAAAAAAAAAUUUCAACCAUUUCACAUGCGCAAUAGUUCUAUUUUUACCAGAAAAAGUAAUACGACUCACUAAUUCUCUAAGGGUGUGUUUGUUUCGACCGAAAGUAUUUCUAGAAAAUUGACAAACCACAAAAGGUAGAGGAGCAUAUACAAUUGAAUAAAAACAUAGAACAUGCCUAAGGGAAGUUGAUCAGGGUUGUGUGAAUAUACAUCAAUUGUUGGAAUAAUAUCUGCAGGAAGUUCUCCUCCAAGAAUCUUCUGCUUCAAAUAAUGUAUGACUUGAUCAUUGGUAGGGUAAAAUCUAUAUCCAAAGGGUAAGUUCAACACUUGUUUUCCAUCACCAGAAGAAUUUCUCGGAUGAGCCAUGGAAUUGCUUAGGGAAAAAUCCAAAGAAGAAAAGCUCACAAUAUCAAGAAAAGUAUGCACCCGAGUAUUACAAUUAGAGAAGAGCAAGAUCUAGUGGUUGACACAAAUCUUAUUCAAGAAGGGUGAUAUCCAAGCCUGAACUUUUAUUGAUGUUUAUAUAGAAGUCACUAUGGUUAAAUAUCCUCGUACAAUUUGAAUUUGGAUUAUGUUAGACUUCCUAGUGCGGGAAGGAGUAGGAAUUGAAAAUUAAAUGUAGGAAACUACUUAUAUUGGCUUCUGGCUAUAGCAACUCAAUUUUUUCCGGUAGUUUCCUUAUUCCUUGGACACAAAUCUAUCGCAAGCGUUUUGUGGAAACUUAAGAUACAGGCUGUCGCCUUUAGAAUUUCAGACACCUACUAUAACCAAUGCUUGUAACUUGUAAGCCCUGUGGUAUAUUUCAUAAAACACCCUCCAAUUUUUUUAAUUUAUAUAAACGAACCCUCUUCGCUCUUCCCACAAUGCCAUUCUCUAGAUUAUCUCUCGCAUCCUUCACGGACAUGAUCCUCCCAUUGCACAACCACGAGAUCGUACAGGUUUCUUUUGAUUUUCCUCCAGGUUUAGAUUGAUUUUCCAGACCUGAAUGGGCUCGGCUUCAGGUUUAGAUUGAUUGAGUCGAAGAAACAGGAAAGAAAAAAUGAAAGUGGCCCGGUGGGAAUUACACCCUCAUUAUAGGACGCGAAACAAAUAUGAGAAUACCCAAUUCUCUUCAUUCCAUGUAUUUAUGUUGUCAAUACUGGAACAAAAGUAAGCUUUCCAAUCUUUUCAGAAAGGUAACAGAUAUCAAUUCUCACCCGGUACUGCCCUUGAGAACCCUUAACCCCGCUUUUUUACUAACCUUAACCCCGUGAGAACCCUCAAAAGCCGGCAACUUUUGAAGGUCUCACAGGAGACUAAUAUACUAACCACCCAAACCCCCCCAACCCCGAUGUGGGAUAUCAACCUCCACAAGGGAGCCUGCCAGACCUAAAAAGACCCCAUACCCCCGUGACUGAGGCUGAUGUCUUUUUUGUCAAAGUCAGCAGAGUUUUGGACGCUUUUUUACGAGCCAUGUAUUUAUGUUGUCAAUACUGGAACAAAAGUAAGCUUUCCAAUCUUUUCAGAAAGGUAACUUUUGCGAACUGGAAUGGCCUUUCGUUUUAAGGUCCAAUCCAAGGACAGCAUGAUGUGUACAUAAUGCAAUAACAUACAAUUUUAGCUAAAGUUGGGGUAUGUUUAAACAAAAUAUAUGAACUUGGUCGUACCGUUACAGGCGCAUGGAUUUUGAAAGCUCCUGUAAUUAAUUGUCGUGUGAGUAAAAGAUUAGGAUAUUAGUGAUGAAUCUAUCUGUAUUUGGUGAUAAGCUUAGAAUGACAAUAUUGUGAAAAGUUAGACAAUUAAUUCUCCAUCUUCAGUGACUUCAGCUAUUGUCAUCAACUCAUCAUACAUUAGCACCAAAACUCUACAUCAACUUUUUUUUUGAGCUUGUGAAAAGAAAAAUGACACACGACAUAAAAAGGUUAAAAAAAGGCUGUAAUUAAAUGCAUCUCGGCCUCCAACUAUUUUUUUUUUUUUAUCUUUUUUCAACAAAGAUCAGAUGGUAGUGCAUGUAUGAUAAUUCAUCAUUCAAAAAUGGAAAAUAGGUUCACGUAGAAUUUAGUUGGCAACCCAUAUUCUAAUACUCUGUUCACUCAAAAAAAAAAAACCAUAUUUGAAUAUGUUAAGCUUGUGCAUUAAUCUUGGUCCCCCCCCCCCCCAAACAACACAAAACAACAAACAACACCUAAAAAAUUGAGGCUGAGGUACCUGAUACGAGUAAUUAAUAUUAUUCAACAGAUAAGAAAAUUCCAGCAUUCAUCUUGUAGCUAGGUAUGGUUAGUACAUGCGCUGCCAAGGUCCAAUGCAUCAGAACUCAUUCCUCCAUUUAGAUUUGCUCAUACCAACGUCUAGUCUUGGAUCACCCGUUCAAUUUUAAAACAAUAUUGCAUAAGAUAUGAGUAUCAAACCUUGUUUAUUGGUAUGUAUUAGUUUUCUCGCUGAACCAAGUCAAUUGUGAAUUUAAAAAUCGUAUGAGAAAUGAUAAGCUACAUGUGCAGAUGAAAAUUGACUAAAAGAGUAGCAACUUUAGGGUCCUUGAAAGCCAAAAUACUUGUCCAAUGGUUAGAAGAGGUUCUUGGAAUUCCUCAUUACAGAUUUAAGAUUCGAAUUCUGUGCAAGAAGGAUUGGAAGUGUAAAAAAAAAAAAAAAAAAAUCCAAACCACAUAGAGCAAGAUGAAGUAAAUUAGACAUUAUAAUGCAUGGCAUGAUUUAGACUUUGAAUAAGUUUCAUUUUACUUUGUAGUGUAUAUUUUAGUCCUUUAUACAAUUUGAACUUCUUCAUUGGGCUAAUCUGGUUUCACAUUUGACAUAUAUUCCUUAUAAAGGCAAUUCUUGAAGGUGUGUUUAUUGGUGCUAUUUGGGUGAACAUUCAAGACCAAAUUUCUCUUGCUCGGCAAAAAUAUCGAACUAUCCUAAGCUUGUAUGGUCCUUCCUCCAAAAAAAAAAAAAAUGUAUAUCUUGUAUUGUCCAAAGAAAGGAAAUAAUUGUGCUGACAUUGAAGCACAAGAAGUACAUUACGUACAAAACAUUAAAUUUCAACUUCCCUAGUAUAUCUAUUACAUCUUGGUCUACCCAUAGCGGUAAUCGAGAAUUUCAAUUUUAUCUCGACUCUUUGACAGGUAGGCAGAAUCUGAUCUAAUGCAGAACAAUUUGACUAGGAUAAAAAAGAAUAAAAUAACAAUGAAGAAGUUUUUUUUAAAGAAUAUUUUGGAAGAAGAUAGGCACGUACCCGUAAAUGCAAUUUAAGACGGCUGAAAUUUUUUUCCUACUUGUGAUAUUCCAUUUGUUGAUUAAGAAGGAUCUGUCCUUUCUCUGAAGGAUCUGUCCUUUCUCUGAAGGAUCCGUCCUUUUCUGUUUAUUGUUUGAGAGUGAUUUCUGGCUAAUAAGGUUUUUUUAACCCAUUAAACUAAAUAAUCAUUUUGACAUUUUCAAGUUUAUCCAUUACUUCACUUUUUUGAACUUGGCAUCCCAUGUUGCUUGCAGCAUAGUUAUUAAAAAAGGUCUACAAAGGAACCAACGAAGGAGGUGGAUCAACGAAUUACUGGUUCAAUUAGUGGAUGAAUGGUCUGGUUGAACCAGUGGAUUAUUGAAUAUAUUUAAAUAUUAUAUUUCAAAAGUUUCGAUGUAGGAUAUAUGGUAUAAACAUUAAUAAACUACACCAUAGCAAAUACUCAUUUAAGUUAAUUCAUUAUAGAAUAACUAAUACUUAUAAGAACCAGUAAAACCCAAAUUUAAUUAUUAAUCCAACAACCUUCAAGUGUACAAUUUUAUCUAUGUUUGGUGUAAUUAUCUAAUUCAUUUACGAAUUUUAAGCGCAAAAGGUGAUUAGAAACAAUAUUUAUCUUUAAAAUGAAUUGUGUAAUAUGUUAUUUUUAAAAUUCAUGUCGUAAACUAUAGAGUCUGGAGAUUAAUAAAUUUUAUUAAAAGAUUUCAAACAAAUUUAUUUUACAGAAAUAAAUAAAGAAAGAAUUGACUGAAAAAGUUCAUAAAAUAUAAAAAGGAUCAUGAACUAAUAUAUGGCCUAGUGGUCCAAUGGUAAGUGUAUUCUAUUUACUUACACAAGGACCGAAGUUGGAACCAUACCGGUACGUUACUAAAACUUUUACCACAAAAACUAUGCUGCUUAGUUUUUUACAAAAUCGGUCGAGAUUUCAAUUCAAUUCGGUUGAUCCACCAGUUCGCCGACAAAUUAACAGGUCUUAUCCUUAUCCAAUUAGAUUAGAGAUCCAGCUCAACUGAUUGCUCGAUUCAUCGAGUUAACUGGAUCGAGAUGAAUUUACUCACAAAAUCUAUGCUACUCAAUUCUUUUCAAAAUCGAUCAAGUUUUAGAUUCAAUUCGGUUGAAUCAUCAGUUCGUUGCCAAGUCAAUGUUUUAUCUUUAUUUGAUUAGAUUAGAGACCCAACUCGACUAAUUGAUUGAUUUAUCGGGUUAACCGGUUGAACCAUUGAAUCGAUCCGAAUUGAAUAACUAUGGCUCGCAAUCAUCUUAUUUAUGUAGUUUCAUUAAUGUAACAUUCACUGGUAAUUUCAUUUACAAUGUCUCAUUCAUUUUGUGUACAACUUGGUAGAAAAUGUUAUCAAAUGUUUCAAAGGGUUUGGCUGUGAGAGGUCAAAAGUAUUAAUUUGUUUAUAAAAGUAAAUUAGAAAUUAGCAUCAAAAUGCAUGAUAUAUGAUAAUUAUGAAUGCAUAUAUUCACAUGAUAAAUUACAUAUAAUACAAAUAUAUUAAUUAGUGUCCCGUGAUACCUGUGAGAAAAUUCCCAUUUCAACAUAAGUUGAAAAAUAAUAAUCGCCUUAACAAAUAACGUUGUUGUAGAAAUGUCGUCUCUCGAGCAAGAUAUUUUUAUUGACAGACUUCAUACCCAUCUGCUGACUGCUGGACAUAUAAAGGCCAAGCUAAAACAACUGGUACAAGUGGCUGACUGCUUCAUAACUAAUUGAAACAACGACACAUCAACAAAUCGACUUUACGUGAAUUCGUUUGUUUUCCUUCCUCGAUUAGCCUUUUCAUUAUAAGCGGACCCCCCAAAACAUGUUAUGUUUCCUUCUCUGAAGGAUUGCAGGAUUAAUGCCUGAACAACAUUUCCUUUCUUGUACUUGAACAAAAAGAAUAUCUUCUGGCUUCCUGGCUCCGUGCAUUUCUUUUAACCUUUUAUUGGAUCCCUAAUGGAGUAGGUCCUUAAUACUCUAAAUAUAGGGAAAUAUACGUUUCUUCUUGAUCAUUUUUACGGUGUUUCAAAAGCUUAAACAUAAUGUAUACUUCAUAUUGCAACUAUAUAUGACUAAAGACGCUUGAGCUCUUGGCUGAAAUAUUAAAGGUCAAAUUGCUAGGAAUUACAAUGUAUAUACAUGUAGAUUUUGAGAUGUAAACCGGAAAUAUAUGUAUUGCAUCGCAGAUAAUUAAUUACACUAAAGAAACCACAAGGAAGAGAAUGACAACAGAGAAAGCAGGUAUUUAUCUGUAAAUGAAAGAUGGAUCUCAUGUCGAUUUCCAAUUUACCAAAGCCUAAUACAAUAUUAAAAAUUUAAUAUAUCAGAUCACGAUUUCACUUGUUAGCUCCUUUAUAUUUAUCAAUUUGCAAAAAGAAAAGUAGGCAUUUUAAUCUUGAUAUAACUGGCUAAAAUCUCUAGGCGAUUUUCUGUUAAAAGUAAAAGAAGAAAAAGUGCUGAGGUAGGAAGUAGGAGAAAGUGAAGUAGCUAACUAUACAUAAGAGUGAGGCUAAUUUCAUUUUGUUUAUUCUACAGAGAUAUACAUGGGAUUAAUUAUGGAAUACAAAACUACCAAGAGGGGAAAUGAAGGUAAUUAAGGACUUUAAGUUUCUAAUUAUGACUACUAGCGGCACUUUCAGAUGAGGAACUGAGAAGCUCCUCCAAAAGGUCAGCUCCCAAGUCUUCAAGCUCCAGCACAACUUUUUCCUUUACGUGUUGUUGCUUCAGAUUUCUCCU
rnacentral:lncRNA from 1 species